rnacentral:lncRNA from 1 species
GAAAUAGAUGUGGUAAUGUUUAUAUAAUUGACAUAGAAUGUGCAUCUACUCUUGAUAAAUGUUUUUCGGCAUUGCAUGAUGAUAGUUGGUUAUGACAUAGAAAACUAGGACAUGCAAGUAUGGAUUUGAUUUCAAAAAUUUUGAAAAAUGAUUUAGUCAAAGGUCUUCUAAAAAUCGGUUUUCAACAGGAUAGAAUUUAUGAAGCUUGUCAAUUUGGAAAAAAAAAUCAAAACAUCUUUUAAAAACAAAAAUCAUAUUUUCACUUAAAAACAACUUCAACUUCUUCACGUAUAUUUGUUUGGACCUUCAAGGUAUGCUAGCUUGAAUGGAAAAUAUUACACUUUUGCAAUUGUUGGUGAUUUUUCAAGAUACACAUGGGUAUUAUUCUUAACUAAUAAUGAUGAUGCUCUUGAUGCUUUUAAAGUACUUUGUAAGAAAAUUCAAAAUGAAAAAGGGUAUGGUAUUGUAUGCACUAGAAGUGAUCGUGAAGGCAAGUUUGAAAACUCCACAACAAUCUUGGCAUUGUGCACAAUUUUCAUCACCUAGAACUCCACAACAAAAUGGAGUUGUUGAGAGAAAGAAUAGAUCAAUUCAAGAAAUGGCUAUGACUAUAUUGAAUGAAAAUUCUUUGCCUAAGUAUUUUUGGGCCGAGGCCGUCAACACCGCUUGUUAUGUUUUAAAUCGUGUGUUGAUUAGAUCUAAUCUUAAUAAAACUCCAUAUGAGCUUUGGAAAGAUAAAAAACCUAAUAUUGGUUAUUUCAAAGUUUUUGGAUGGAAAUGUUUUAUUUUGAACACAAAAGAUAAUCUUGGCAAAUUUGAUCAAAAAUCCAAUGUUGGUAUUUUUCUUGGAUAUUCAAAUUCAAGUAAAGCUUAUAGAGUUUAUAACAAAAGAACUCUAGUUGUAGAAGAAUCUAUGCAUGUUACAUUUGAUGAGUCUAACCCCUCCUCUGUGGAGAAAGGAAUUACUUAUGAUGAUGCAGAUGGAGAGUUACAAGAAGAAUCAUCAAAGGAUAAACAAGAGAAUGCACCACAAAAAAAUCAAGAGAACGGACAAGACGAGCAAACAAAUAUGGAACAACAUGAAGGUACUUCUCAAGCACUCCCCAAGGAGUGGAGGUAUAUUUCUUCACAUCCUAAGGAUGUAAUUUUAGGAGAUCCCUCACGAGGUGUUACAACUAGAUCAUCACCUAGGAAUGCUUGUGAGCAUAAUGCAUUUAUUUCUCGAAUUGAACCCAAAUCCUUUGCGGAUGCAGAAAAUGAUGAAUCUUAGAUUAUGACAAUGCAAGAGCAGUUAAAUCAAUUUGAGAGAAAUAAUGUGUGGGAAUUAGUUCCUAAACCGAAACAUCAAUCUAUCAUAGCUACUAAAUAGGUUUUUAGGAAUAAGAUGGAUGAAUCCGGUGUGGUUAUAAGGAAUAAAGCUAGAUUAGUUGCUCAAGGUUACAACCAAGAAGAAGGAAUUGAUUUUGAUGAAACAUUUGCACCCGUAGCUAGAUCAGAAUCAAUUAGAAAAAAGAGAGCCUAUGGCUGACUAUUCAAUUUUUUAGUAAGGGUUUCAAUAUUUGAUUGGACAAUCAGAAGGAGAAUUAACUCUGUUUUCUCAUGAAUUUGGAAUGUAAGUUCUUAGCAUAGUCCUCUACAUUCUUACUAGUCUUGAUUUUUAUUUUAUCCUUUCGGUGGCUGUUAUUUAAAAUACUCAUUUGUUAGAGAGAUAGAUAUUAGAGUGUUAUUGUGAGCCAAAAUUGUUGAGAUUGCUGAUGUUGUUAAUAUCUAAUGUUAUCUAAAGAAGAAUUUGUGUUUUAAUCCCAUUAUUUAUUUAGUUGAACAUUAUAUUGGACUAUAAUCUCAUAGUUUUUUUUCCAAUUUGGGUUUUCUAUGUAAAAAUUUGUGUCUCUUCUAGUUGAUUUAUUACUUUGGAUUGUAUUGGUUUAUUUUCUGUGUAUUAAUUUGUGAUGCAUAUUGUUGAGUGUUAGAAAAUGUAUAUUUAUAAAGGAGAAAACCGUCAUUUUACAUUUCAAGUCUUACUAACACCUUUACUUUCAUGAAUUUAACCUUCUUUUGAUUUAAUUCCGUUUGUUUUAUUUUAAUUAAGUAUUUUAUGUAUUUUAGGGGCAUUAUAGUCAUUUCACAAUAAAUAAGAGAUCAGACGGCAAAACGGAUAUCACUUUUGAACUCAGGACGGUCGAAAACCUUAGGAGGAGCAUAAAAGGAAAAAUGACAUUAUUCACAUGUACGGUACUAUUCACGGAUACGGUACUGUCUACGUUACUGUUCAUGACACUGUUCACAUAGACGGAUCGAUGACGUGGCAUUGACUGAUGAGGUGUCACGAUCCUGUUGGACUAAAAUUCUUAUAUACUGUUGAUGGUGACGUGGCAGCAUAUUAGUGGACGAAAAAUCUCGCGUACGGUGCAUGCAUCACACAGGAUUAUUUUCAACCAAACCGCGUUACUGUUCAUCCGGGUCAAACUGUGUUACUGUUCAUCCGCGUGGUCAAACCGUGGACUGUUGACUGAUGACGUGGCCCAAUCCUGAGCGUCCAAACUGUUUUUAAUCCGAUGGCCAUGAUUUACUCCAUGUAUCUAUAAAAAAGGGGUCUCUCCCCCCUAAUUUGAUAUCUCUGAAUCCAUUUUUGGGAUCCAUUUUCUGUAAUUCCUUUUCCAUCUUGUAUUUUCUUCGUAUUUUAAUAAAUUCCCAUUUUGCCCCUAGUUCAAUUAUGAGUGGCUAGUUUUCUUUCAAGCUUGGGUUGAAGGUGAAGUCUCAACAUGUGUCAUGGGCUUAAUUUGGUAAAUUUAUUUUCUCUUCCCCUCUAGUUUUUGUGGAUGUUUUGACUUCUCGUCGACAAAUAAUACUAAUCUUGUCUAGUAUCGCCUUGGUUUCACCGGCCCUCUAGUACAAGGUUAUUAUUAUUUGGCACGAUAAGCCCUUAGCACCAUAUUGAUUAGAGCGUGGUUCAUGAGGUGUGGAUUCCCCCCUUAUGAUUUAAUUGGCAUUAAUACGGAUUAUUUAGCCCAUGAUGCAUGUUGAUACGGAUCCAGAUACCCAAGUACGACAUUUCAAUAGAAUUCUCUUCAAUUUAUUCUCGCCAUUUCAAUUCUAAUUUUAGAAUUUAUUCUCGCCAUUUUAAUUUAAAUUUUAGCAUAUUCCAAAUCUUUUCCACCACAAAUCCAAUCACCCAUUUACAAAAUUAAUUCUACACAAUUAAAAUCUACCUCCUCGUGGGAUCGACACUCGUCACCAUUGAUCUAUACUACAAUAGAUUCGUGCGCUUGCGAGUAUAUUAAAAUUUGCACAACAAGUUUUUGGCGCCGUUGCCGGGGAGGUAAGUAAUUUUAAUUCGUAAAAUUAAUUUUUGUGAAUAAUUCCAUUUAAAUUGUUUCUUGUAUUUUUUUUUUUUUAAAAAAAAGUGAAUCUACAUUUAAAGGUUAGUAUUUUUUUUCUUUUUCUCUUAUUUAAAAUUCUGUAAUUUAAUUUUCAAUUUAUUUUUCUUUGUAAUUUUUUUAUUUUAUUUUAAUUAAUUUAAUUUUUAGUUAAUUUCUUUCACGUAUUUAUUUUUGUGUAUUUUUAUAGAAAGGUUUUAAUAGCGCAAUAAGGUUAGUAUCGUAAUUUCUCCCUCUUAUUUAUUUUUAUUUGUUUUGCAUGCAUGGUCGUAGGUCAUUAUUACCUAAUCUUGAACCUAUAGACCUUGAAUUAGAAAAAACACUUAGCACACAAAAGCACAUUAAAAAUAAAUUUGAAACGGAUUUACAAGCACCACAGGAGAGGCCAUUUAAAGACUAUUUUAGUCCCUUAGCUAAUUUGAGCACAUCAUGCAUAAGAUACCCAAAUGUAGCUGCUAGGAGUUUUGAAUUAAAACCCAGUGUGCUAAAUUGUCUCCCAACAUUUUAUGGCCUAGAAAAUGAGGAUCCAUAUAAUCAUCUGAAUGAUUUUCAUGCCAUUUGUCAAACUUUUAAAUAUGAAAAUUUUUCAGACGAUGAUGUUAAACUUAGACUAUUCCCAUUUUCUUGAAAAGAUAGAGCUCGUUCAUGGUUAAAUACUUUACCUGCUAAUAGCAUUUCAUCAUGGGAACAAAUGGUAACUAAAUUUUUGAAUAAAUAUUUCCCAGUGCAUAAAACCAAUGCUAUUCGCAGGGAAAUCUCGGAGUUCAUCCAGAGAGAGGACGAGCAAUUUUUCGAAACAUGGGAGCGAUUCAAUGGGCUACUCUUGAAGUGUCCACAUCAUGGGUACGAGAAAUGGCACCAAUAUCAAUACUUUUUGGAGGGAUUACUACCGAAUGUGCAAGAAUGGCUAAUGGCAACAAGUGGAGGAGAGCUAAUGUCAAAAAGUGCAUCAGAAAUUUGGGAAUUCUUCCAGCGACAAGCAGAUAAUUCCCAACAACGGAGUCGAUCACUCAGGACUACUAGAAGAAUUAAAGGAGUGAAUGAGGUUCAAAUUGGCGAAUCAACUUCAGGAAUCAAAGAAGUCAAGGAGAUGGUUGAAGGUCUUGCUCGACAAAUAGCAUCGUUAUCGACUGCUAAAUCAACUGAACCACAUGACCUUGACUCAUACUCGGAUCAAGCCAAUGCCAUAGGUAUAAUGAGAAAACCAUCAAAUUACAACCCAUACUCCAACACAUAUAAUCCUGGAUGGAGAGACCACCCCAAUUUUUUAUGGUCUCAAGGAUUCCAACAGAAUGGACCAGCAGCUCCAGCUCCACCAAUGCAACAAAUUCCUCAAGUUCCUCAAGCCUCUCAGCCACCAUUUAGACCAUACAAUCAGAACCAGAACCACUCUCAACCUAGACCAUGAGAGGAUGCAUUCCAGAAUUUCAGGAAUGUUACUCACUCCACGAUUGAGCAACAGAACCGCACCAUUGAUGGACUACGAAAUGAGUUGAGAGCAGGCUUCAACUCACAAGCUCAAUCAGUUUCAAGCCUCGAGAAGAUGGUGGGACAACUUGCUUCUUCAGUUCAGACCUUGGCAAUGACUGUUGAGAAAGGCAAAUUUCCAAGUCAACCAGUGCCUAAUCCUAAAGGAGUACAUGAAGCAAGUACCAGUUCACCACAGCAGCAUGGAGAGGUCAAAGCAGUCAUGACCUUACGAAAAGGAAAAGAAGUCGACAAUAAAGUGGAGAUGCCGGUGACAAAAGAAAAUCAAAUUGUACCUGUGAAUGUUGAAGACUUAUCACCGGAGGAGAAAGAAGAAACCAACCCACGGGAAUAUGUUCCCAAAGCUCCAUUUCCUCAGAGGUUAGCUAAAGGAAAAAAGGGAAAAUCCACAGGUGAGAUUCUUGAAAUCUUCAAACAGUUAAGUGUUAACAUCCCUUUGCUUGAUGCUAUUAAGCAAGUUCCAUCUUAUGCCAAGUUUCUUAAAGACCUUUGUACUAAAAAGAGAAAUAUGCAUGUUCAAAAGAAGGCAUUUUUAACAGAAAACGUUAGUUCUAUACUCCAACAUAAAAUUCCUUUAAAAUGCAAAGACCCAGGCUCCCCCACUAUCUCACGUAGUAUAGGGAACCACACAAUUGAGAAUACUUUGUUGGAUUUAGGAGCUAGUGUAAAUCUUUUGCCUUACUCUGUAUUCGUGAAACUUGGACUGGGAGAAUUACACCCAACUCCAGUGGUGUUACAGCUUGCAGAUCGGUCCACGAAAAUACCUCGUGGUAUUGUGGAGGACGUGCUUAUCCAGGUAGACAAGUUUUAUUUUCCUGUUGAUUUCAUUGUAAUUGACACUCAACCAAUACAGGAUUCGAGGAAGCACAUCCCCAUUAUUCUAGGCCGACCUUUCUUGGCAACUGCGGAUGCUCACAUUCAAUGCAGGACUGGAAAUAUGCAGUUGUCCUUCGGCAACAUGACUAUGGAGCUGAACAUCUUCAACAUUGCCAAACAACCUCACAGUGCAGAUGAUGGAAUUGUUGAUGUGGAUUUAAUUGAAACAAUAGUUGAUAACACUUUUCUUUCAAACCUUAGUGAUGAUCCUUUACAAACAUGUUUAACUCACUUUGGUUUGGAUUUUGAUAUUGACAGAUCGGUCGAUGAGGUCAACGCCCUACUUGACUCAGCACCAUCCAUGGACACUAAUAAAUGGAAGUCAAGAGUUGAACAACUAGCACCAUCAGAGAAGAAACUCAUCUCAUCAUCAGAAUCACCACCGAAACUCGAGCUCAAACCAUUGCCCAACACAUUGGAAUAUGUAUUUUUGGGAGAAGAAAGCACUCUGCCAGUAAUCAUCUCAUUAUCCCUCAAUGACGAACAAAAAGGUAAGUUGUUGGAUGUUUUGAAAGAGCACAAAGGAGCAUUAGGAUGGACCAUAGCAGACAUAAAAGGUAUAAAUCCAGUAGACUGCAUGCAUUACAUUCACCUUGAUGAAAAUGCUAAAUCUACUAGGGAAAUGCAACGUCGGUUAAAUCCUAAUAUGAAAGAAGUUGUUAGAACUGAAGUCCUUAAGCUAUUAGACGCAGGUAUCAUUUACCCAAUUUCUGAUAGUUCAUGGGUCAGUCCUGUGCAAGUUGUCUCCAAAAAGUCAGGAGUCACAGUAGUUACGAAUGCUGAUAAUGAAUUGAUACCCACUAGAGUGACUACAGGAUGGCGUGUAUGCAUUGAUUAUAGAAAGUUGAAUUCUGUCACACGUAAAGACCAUUUUCCUUUACCAUUUAUUGAUCAAAUGCUUGAUAGAUUAGCAGGACAUGAAUUUUAUUGCUUUCUAGAUGGCUACUCAGGAUAUAAUCAGAUUCCCAUAGUACAAAAAGAUCAAGAGAAAACUACUUUCACUUGCCCUUUUGGCACAUUUGCAUAUAGGAGAAUGCCAUUUGGAUUAUGUAAUGCACCUGCUACAUUUCAACGAUGCAUGUUGAACAUUUUUUCUAAUAUGGUUGAACGAUUCCUUGAAGUCUUUAUGGAGGAUUUUUCUGUCUUUGGUGACUCAUUUGAUCAAUGUUUACAUCAUCUAACACUAGUUCUGCAGAGAUGUAUCGAGAAGAAUUUGGUAUUAAAUUGGGAGAAAUGUCAUUUUAUGGUAAAACAAGGUAUUGUUCUCGGUCACAUCAUUUCGAGCAAAGGUAUUGAGGUUGACAAAGCCAAGGUGGAUCUCAUUUCUAAUCUUCCUUCACCCAAAUCAGUCAGAGAAUUAAGAUCUUUCCUUGGGCAUGCUGGUUUUUAUAGACGUUUCAUUAAAGAUUUUAGCAAAGUUUCUAGACCCUUAUGCAAUCUACUUGCUAAGGAUGUACCUUUUGUCUUUGAUGAUUCAUGUCUUGUUGCGUUUGAAAAAUUAAAGCAUUUGUUGACAUCAUCACCCAUCAUUCAGCCCCCGAACUGGAACUUACCAUUUGAGCUCAUGUGUGAUGCAUCUGAUUAUGCAGUAGGAGCAGUAUUAGGACAAAAAGUUGAUCGAAUUCCCCACGUUAUUUACUAUGCUAGUAUGACAUUGAAUGAUGCACAGUUGAACUAUUCAACUACUGAAAAAGAAAUGCUAGCAGUAGUAUUUGCAUUAGAGAAAUUUCGAUCUUAUUUCAUUGGUUGUAAAAUAAUUGUGUUCACAGAUCAUGCUGCUCUUAAAUAUCUUCUCACAAAGAAAGAUGCAAAAGCUAGACUAAUUCAUUGGGUGUUACUUUUGCAGGAAUUUGACUUGGAAUUCAAAGAUAAGAAAAGGACAGAAAAUGUUGUGGCGGACCACCUCUCUCGUCUCCAUUUUGACACAACUACAGAGCCAUUACCAUUAAAUGAGUCAUUCACUGAUGAACAAUUGAUGAAUGUGGAAGUAUUACCGUGGUAUGCUGACAUCGUGAAUUAUCUUGUUACAGGUCAACUUCCAGAGCAUUGGACCAAGCAAGAUAAGGCUAAAUUCUUUGCAGAAAUAAAGAAUUUCUUUUGGGAUGACCCGUGUUUGUUCAAGUAUUGUGCAGAUCAAAUUGUUAGACAAUGUGUCCCAAAAAAUGAAAUUCAGAAUAUUCUUUCAUUCUGCCAUGAACAAGCUUGUGGAGGCCAUUUCAGUGCUAAGAAAACAGCGACUAAAGUUUUACAAUGUGGUUUCUAUUGGCCAACUAUAUUUCGAGAUGCUUACACUUUCUGUUCUUCAUGUGAUAGGUGUCAACGAAUGGGGAGCAUUACACGAAGGAACAUGAUGCCAUUAAAUCCAAUUUUAGUGGUUGAGAUUUUUGACGUAUGGGGUAUCGACUUCAUGGGACCCUUUCCCCCGUCUUUUGGUCAUCAAUACAUAUUGGUUGCUGUUGACUAUGUAUCAAAAUGGGUAGAAACAAUUCCAUGUAGGACCAAUGAUCACAAGGUGGUGAUAGCAUUUUUGAAAAGCAACAUUAUUUCACGCUUUGGAUUCCCUCGAGCAAUAAUCAGUGAUGGUGGUGCCCACUUUUGUAACAAAGCAUUUAAAGCACUUUUGACAAAGUAUUCAAUCACACACAAAGUGGCGACCCCGUAUCAUCUACAAACCAGUGGCCAAGUUGAGAUAUCCAAUCGAGAAAUAAAGCACAUAUUAGAAAAGACGGUGAGGUCGGACAGAAAAGAUUGGUCAUUAAGACUUGAUGAUGCAUUAUGGGCAUAUAGAACGGCUUUCAAGACCCCGAUUGGGAUGUCACCCUACAGGCUAGUGUAUGGAAAAGCUUGCCACCUACCUGUGGAACUCGAGCAUCGUGCAUAUUGGGCCAUCAAGAAAUUCAAUUUUGACAUGUAGCAAGCCAGCUCAGAAAGAAGAUUACAGCUGGCAGAACUUGAAGAAAUUCGCAAUGACGCGUACGAAAAUGCCAAGAUUUACAAGCAACGAAUGAAAGUCUUCCAUGACAAGCAAAUUAUGAGAAAAUCUUUCACUCCAGGUCAGAAAGUGCUUUUAUUCAAUUCUCGCUUGCACCUAUUCCCAGGUAAGUUACGCUCUCGUUGGUCUGGCCCAUUUAUUGUUCAUACUGUUUUUCCACAUGGGGCAAUUGAAAUUAAAGACCCAAAGAACGGUGUCACGUUUAAAGUUAAUGGUCAAAGAUUAAAGCCAUAUCUAGAAUACCAACCACAUGGAGAAGACACCGAAAUAAAUUUGAGUGGCCCACCAGAUUUGAAUUGAUUUUUCUUUUCGUUGAUUUGAUUUUUCUUUCUUUCUUUAUAUUAUUUUUUUGCUAAUUGAAAUUAUUUUUUCAUAAGUGUGUUUGUUUAACUAGUAAGUUUUCUCUUAUCAUUGUUAAUCAUGAGUCUCAUACUUAGACCGUUCCUCCUGAACAUUCUUAAACCACUUCAACGUGUCAAAACUCAUCUCAAAAGGCAGAUUCAAUUUUGUAAAACACAUCGCAUUUGGGCUCUACAGCCACCAGAGUUAGUAGCCUAUGUUGAGGGUUUAGAAAGCCAACUCAGAGACAUUGAGAGAAGUGUUUACGACAUCCAGUUGGAGCUUGAGGUAAAUUCAAUAAGAGGACGAUUUUAAUUUUCUUUGUGUGUUUUAAUUUGUUUUUCUAUUUGUGUGCUUUAGUUUGUUACCCCGGUGAAGUGGCGGAUAACGGUACUCCGUGACAAUCAAGUCGGUUACUUCAGUUUCCCAUAAUAACUGAUAUUCUGAGGCGAAAGUAUGGACAGAAACGAGAUUCUAGCGAAGCUUCACAAGCGAUUCCCUUCACUUCCUCAGAAUGCCCUCCUUACGAUCUAUAAAGCUCGGUCCGAAUGCAUGCGAUUACUCAUGAGGAAUAACAUACCUGCUGACAUCCGUUGGUUAAUCGAGGCUAAAGUACGAUCGGCAGGUGAGUUACCUCCAAAAUUUAUUGCAUAUAUGCCUGGUUGUGGUAAAGGAAAUUAUGCAAGAAAACGACGAGCUCGAAGAAUUUCUGUUGCUUGUCAUAAGUGUGCCAGAAUGAGUUGCAAUAAAAACCCAUGUUCUUUAGGAAUGAUGUCUAAUAACAGGGAAGAUAAGAUUUAAUUCAUUAGGGAUGGCUUGAAUAAGGAGUCAUUGGAUUAUAUCCUUUUGUCUCUUGAAACGCAUCCCAGUGGAUAUGUGCAAGGAGCGAUUCUCCAAUUAUGGCUAUUAUUCCAGAAAGAGCAUGCACGAUAUAGUCUCGGGAAUCUGACUAUAAACGACCAUGUUUGCCAGUUUAUAAGAAAACUGGAUAGGAAGCCUAUUCUCGAUCCAUAGAGGGCGUUCAAGCCGUUUCUGAACGUAAAACCAGAGGAAGAUGUGAGCCACAGUCGCAACUACUUGUAAAUAUCCUUUCACUUUACUGUUAUUUUAUUUCACUAUUGUUUUAUUGUGUGUAUUAUUGUCCUUAAUAAUUUUAUUACUGUUUGCUUUUUCUUUUUUACUGUUUCCUUUUUUACUCGCGAGCCACGUGCUUUACGCGUUAUUUGACACUGACAUUUUACCUCAUACACAACUGUGACCCACUAUCACCAAGACUCUUAAAUGUGAUUUUCUUUGUCAAGCACUCACAAAUUGUUUUUGCGAAGUAUCACAAUGGCAGCUACUCCCAAUAGACAAUUCAAGAACAUUUGUGUGCUUUCUGGAUUUACCUAUGGCAAACAUAAAGAGUUCGUUGAGGCAGCCAUCGAUCUUGGUCGCAGUAUAGCAGCGAGAAAAUUACACUUGGUGUAUGGAGGAGGUAACCGAGGGUUAUCAAAAAUGGUCUCAGAAGCAGCUUUUAUCAGAGGCAGCCAAGUGUUAGGCAUCAUCCCAAGAGUUCUAAAACUAUUGGGCAGUUCGUCUGACUCAUCAACUGGAGAAGAGUUAGUCGUCUCAAGUAUGCAAGAAAGAAUAACUGAAAUGCUUAAUCAUGCUGAUGCUUUUAUUUUCCUUCCAGGAGAUCUUGCAACACUAGAGGCACUUAUCACACUAGCAUCUUGGGCCCAUCUGCACAUCCACCAGAAACCCAUCGGUUUGUUAAAUGUCAAUAACUUUUAUGAUAGCUUUAUCGCAUUUCUUAACCAUGCAAUAAAAAACUAUUUCAUUCCUUCUAAUGUGAAAAAACUUUUUAUUUGUGCUCACACUGCUAAUGAGCUACUUGAUCUGUUACAAGCUUAUAAACCGGAGCCAGACCCCUAGACCUUUGUAUUGGAGCGUCCAAAUAAUGAUGGUAACAGUAGCAGCAGUAAGAAGUACAAAUUAGAUUUAACUCUCCGCCUGUAAAUAUUUUCUUCUGUGUUGCACCACCCAGGUGAUGUCUUCUGAACUCUACUUCUUUCCUUUAACACAUUGAGGACAAUGUUUCGUUCUGGUUGGGGGGAGGGAAUAGUCGACAAUUGUGGAAUCUUGGUUAAGUUUUUACUAAUUUUUUGUUGUAGAAACUAACUGUUGCUAACGUUUUGUGUUGAAGAUGGCUGAAUAUGGAGUGUAGUGACUCUAGAAACGCAUCUUCAUUGUUUAAAAAAAAUUAAAAAAUUAAAAAAAAAUUUAGACAUUUUUUUUCUCUUUAUUAAGUUUUUAUGUUCAUUUUUCUUCUUCUUUUUAAUUUCUCCUCUAUAAAUAUACAUUUUCCAACUUUUGAGUCGAAGAUGGCUGAAUAUGGAGUGUAGUGCCUCUAGAAACGCAUCUUCUUAGUUAAAAAAAAAUCAUUUUCUUUUUCUAUCAUUUUAAGUGUAACUUUUCUAAUUAGUUUUUAUGCAUCAUUUUCACAUUUCUGCAUGCAUAUUUUCCUUUCAUGUUUAGAAUAUGUUGGGGGGUAGAAUGUUGUUUAAAACAUAAUAAUAAUAAUUUGUGUGAUUUGUUUUAACACUGGAUGACAUGAUUAAUUUUAAAUUUUAGUAUUUGUAUUAUCUUUGGUCUUAAGUGAUGUUACGUUAUGUUUGCUACUUUACAUGUUGAUGUCGGAGACAAAUAUGAGUUGCUUGAAGGAAUGAACAUGUCAUAAAUAAGUGCCAAGUGAGUUGUUGAGCCUAUCAUUUUCUUGGAGAGUAACCCUUUUGCCCAUUCUCUAUACAGCUUAGCAGUUUAUUAUUUUAUACACGAUCUCUAGAUUUCUUUUGAGUUAACCCUUAAAAAAAUGGUAAAAUAAAAAAAAAGAAAAAGAAAAAGAAAAAAAAUGUGUGUUGCUACAUUGGGAGGCCCAUCUAACUAGUAGAUAUGGAUGAUUAUUUAGAGCCCUAAAAGACGAUGGAAAUGCCAUCUUUGAUCCGUUUGAGCCUUUCUAACCAUCCCUUUUAUUAAAUAUCCAUAGUUAACCCUUUUGAGCCUUUAAAAAAAAAAUCUUUUUCUUUGUCAACAUAUCAUCUUGACCCACUUCAAUUUGGAGUAUUACCCGAUGUCUUAUAAGUUCCAUCACCUAUUUAUGUUUGAGAAAAUGUAAAUAAUUAUGUUGUUCAGUGAAGUUAUGCCAAAUAAAAGAAAAAAACAAAAAAAAUAAAAAAAAACAAAAAACAAAAGUUGUUGUUUCAAAAGAAUAAAAAUAACAACAAUAGGUGAAAUCCACCUUGCAACUUCCAAAAAAAAAAAAAAUCCCUGCAAUUUUUUUUCUCAAACAUACAAUUUGUUUUCCUUAUUUCCCUUCUUUGUUAACCAUGUCCCUAGCCUACGUUACGUCCUAAUAAAAGUCCUUCUUGAUUUUAGGGAACUAUAGUCUAAAGUAGAAGCUAGUUAUAUGGGCUAAAAAGAUGUAGUGGUGCAUAUAAAAAAAAUAAAUAAAAAAAUUGGGUUGACUAACAGUUUUUAUUUGACUUGAGAUCGUAUUAUUUUUAAGCUGAAGGCAUAUUUAUUUCAUCUCGGUGAGAGCAUGUGAUAUCAGUUCUUCAUUAUUUUCUCUCAAUUACCAUUCAUUGGAGUGACUAUUUAUAUUUGGUUUAAUUUCUUUGUGAGAUUGUCACUACUUCCAGUGAGAUUUUGGGGUUUGACAUGUCAUUCUUGAAAGUAGCUAUAACAAAGUCUACUGGGCUUAUUCAUGUGGAUGGUUGAUGUGGGUGUGAUGUUGCUUUAGACUGGAGAUAAUGCUUAUACUUUUAUUUGAUUGCUAUCAUUAAUCUGAUGGAAUAAAUAUGAGUGUUUCUAUUAAAAAAAAAAUUAUUUUGAAUUUGAAUUUUGUUUUCGCUUUAUUUGCUAGGGACUAGCAAUAAGCUGGUUGGGGGGUGUGUUGAGUGUUAGAAAAUGCAUAUUUAUAAAGGAGAAAACCGUCAUUUUACAUUUCAAGUCUUACUAACACCUUUACUUUCAUGAAUUUAACCUUCUUUUGAUUUAAUUCCGUUUGUUUUAUUUUAAUUAAGUAUUUUAUGUAUUUUAGGGGCAUUAUAAUCAUUUCACAAUAAAGGAGAGAUCAGACGGCAAAACGGAUAUCACUUUUGAACUUAGGACGGUCGAAAACCUUAGGAGCAGCAUAAAAGGAAAAAUGACAUUAUUCACAUGUACGGUACUAUUCACGGAUACGGUACUGUCUACGUUACUAUUCAUGACACUGUUCACAUAGACGGAUCGAUGACGUGGCAUUGACUGAUGACGUGGCAUUGACUGAUGAGGUGUCACGAUCCUGUUGGACUAAAAUUCUUAUAUACUGUUGAUGGUGACGUGGCAGCAUAUUAGUGGACGAAAAAUCUCGCGUAUGGUGCAUGCAUCACACAGGAUUAUUUUCAACCAAACCGCGUUACUGUUCAUCCGGGUCAAACCGUGGACUGUUGACUGAUGACGUGGCCCAAUCCUGAGCGUCCAAACUGUUUUUAAUCCGAUGGCCAUGAUUUACUCCAUGUAUCUAUAAAAAGGGGGUCUCUCCCCCCUAAUUUGAUAUCUCUGAAUCCAUUUUUGGGAUCUAUUUUCUGUAAUUCCUUCUCCAUCUUGUAUUUUCUUCGUAUUUUAAUAAAUUCCCAUUUUGCCCCUAGUUCAAUUAUGAGUGGCUAGUUUUCUUUCAAGCUUGGGUUGAAGGUGAAGUCUCAACAUGUGUCAUGGGCUUAAUUUGGUAAAUUUAUUUUCUCUUCCCCUCUAGUUUUUGUGGAUGUUUUGACUUCUCGUCGACAAAUAAUACUAAUCUUGUCUAGUACCGCCUUGGUUUUACUGGCCCUCUAGUACAAGGUUAUUAUUAUUUGGCACGAUAAGCCCUUAGCACCAUAUUGAUUAGAGCGUGGUUCAUGAGGUGUGGAUUCCCCCCUUAUGAUUUAAUUGGCAUUAAUACGGAUUAUUUAGCCCAUGAUGCAUGUUGAUACGGAUCCAGAUACCCAAGUACGACAUUUUAAUAGAAUUCUCUUCAAUUUAUUCUCGCCAUUUCAAUUCUAAUUUUAGAAUUUAUUCUCGCCAUUUUAAUUUAAGUUUUAGUAUAUUCCAAAUCUUUUCCACCACAAAUCCAAUCACCCAUUUACAAAAUUAAUUCUACACAAUUAAAAUCCACCUCCUCGUGGGAUCGACACUCGUCACCAUUGAUCUAUACUACAAUAGAUUCGUGCGCUUGCGAGUACAUUAAAAUUUGCACAACACAUAUUCCAUUUUAAGCACACAAGGAGGGAAAAAGUUUGCUUUCGCUUUCUUUGUAGUUGUUUGUGUGAAUUCUUUUCCUAACAUUAUAAAGGGUUGAAUGCUUUAUUGACUUAUUUUCUUAGGGUACAGGACGGAUCAUGUAUUUAUAUCAAGAAUAGAGGAAUUAUAUAUGGAAGAAAUAUUUUUCUUGAAUUAUUGGGAUUCAUUAUAAACUUAGACAUUAGCUAGCUGUUGGCUAAGUUACGAAGAAAAUCUAGACUUGAAUGAUAGUUAGCUAUCUUUUUUUUUUUCGCGAGUUUGCAUGUCACAAGAUUGUGUGAGAUGAUUCCAUUGCAGGCCUUUAGUAGAGUAAUACAAAUUGCCAUAUUUGUGUCCAAUGGUUUGUUACUUAGGACCAGAUGUGACUAUUUGAAAUCCAUGAAUUCCACAUGUGGUGGGCAAUGUAUAUCAACAUAGUUGUCUUUUAUAAGUAGUUUAAUAGUAUUUUAUACUUUAAUUAAUUACAUACUUGUGUGUAUUAUUUAGUUAAUAAUGCUUAGGACCAGAUGUUUCAAUUUUACAAAAUUCAAAUUUUAACUAGAAUAAAAAAAAUUAGGGCUUGACUCACUUAAAUGUAAUGUAACAUUUAAAUAAACUCAUGAGUCAACCUAUAACAGCUCAAUUGUUUCACUUAUUGUAAUUUUUAUUAUUUUGCGUGACAAUUCAAGCGUUGUUGUAUGUAACAUAUGAUGUGACGUAGCAUGACCCUCAAAAAUUAUAUAUUACAUAUUACAUCACUGUACAAUUUUGACAAUUUUGAUUCCAAGUCCAAAUGAAAGUAAUAUUUAAUUUUUUUAGCUGAAAUAUAAAUGAGUUUUAAUUUUUCUAAAGUAUGAAUACAAAUAUUUGAGCAAUAUUUUUUUAAAUAUCUGAAUAUAAAUGGCUUCUUUUUAUUUUUAUAAAUAUAAAAAUAUUAAACAUGAUUACUUGAUAUGUAUAUCCUUUUAAAUAAAAAAAUUAAAUUUUAUAGUUUAGGAAAUAAGUAUAUUUUAUAGAGAUAGUUUUGGAAUAUAUAACAUUUACUUCUCAUUUAGACCUUUUCUCUAUUUUGGUAAAACUUACAAAAGUUUAUUUAUUAUAUUUAAAUGUAAAUAUUUGAAAAUCAUAGAUAAAUUAGAAACAAAAAUGCAAAUUUUUUUAAAAAUAUGAAAUUAAUAGAAUUUCAGACUUCAAACAUUUAAUAAACGAGCCUUUAGAUUUUAUAAAAUUCGGACAUGCGGACUAGAUACACUUUUGUAUGUAUCAUUUACUGUCACACCUUUAAUUUUAUUUUGCGAUAUUAUAGAGAGAGCCCAAUAUUUAUUUUCAAAUGAAACGAUCAACACAAUUUCACAAAUUGAACGAAACUUACUGUGAGAAGAUGUUAUUAGAUCCAGAGGCUAUUGCAUUCUUGUUUCAAGUCAAGCUCUUGAUCUUGAACAAACUCCAAAUCAGGCAUUCUGUCAUUUCAUGAGUUCAUUUUCCGUUUUUCCAAAAAAAAAUGAUGAGAAAAAAAAAUCAUAAAGUAUUUUUUUCAAAGUGACUCCAAACAUAAAUUUUCCAUUAUUUUCGUUUUUGCGAACAAGUUUUGUAUGUUACAAUUUUUUAUUAUACCUUUAUUAUUUUCUCAACAAGCUACCAGUUGUUUCUUCCAUAAUGAAAUGGCAAUAUAAAUUGGUAACGGAAACACUUUUCUAGAUGCACAAAAUUUUUUAGACAAAUCUAAAAUUCUGUGUGACUAUUUCUAAACACAAAAGGACCUGUGUAACAAUUUUUGAAUUCUGAUGUCAAUGUCUUUUUCUUUUUUCUUUUUUUUUUGAAGAAAAGGAAAAAUAUUUUUUUAGAAAAAAAUAUGUUGAUUUAAUCAGAGUCAUCUUGGUUUCAAUAAAUAAUUAAUCUUCUAGUAUAGUAGUCUUGCUGUCAGUGCAAUGUACUGAUUAUUCAAUUCACUAUGUACAAAUUACAAGUCAUCUUAACAUUAUGAACCAAAAAAAAAAAAAAAAAGCACAUCUUGUAAAGCACACUUGUAGAAAAUCAUCAAAAAUGGUUCCAUGAUCCAGAUUUACACAAAAUCAAGCUAAAAUAGACAUGGCCAAACUUCCACAAGAUAUUUUUACUGAUACACUAUCGCGGCUACCUAUUGAGGUCCCUUUUUAUGGUUUAAGUGUGUAUCCAAGACAUGGUUUUCUUUAAUCUCUAAUUCUCAAUUUGCCAAAUUCCAACUCUAACAAGCAAUUUUAAAAGUCCGGUACCAGUGGUAAAAUUUGUAGAGUCUUACUCACGACUUCUCCACUUCAAUCCAUCGAUUAUAGAGCAUUUGGAUUUGGUGAUCUGAGAAACGGUAAUGUAACACUGCAACUUGGUUAUCCUGGGAAAAAAAUUCCUGAAGAUGAUGCUACUAUUAUAGGAUCCUGUAAUGGCAUGGUGUGCAUAUAUUUUGAUUCCACCAACAUGGUUUUGUGGAACCUGAGUACUCGAGUUUCCAGGGAAUUCUCAAUGCCUGAUCCUUUUCCUGAACAAGAUGAUUUUUCAAAUGGGUUUGGUUAUGAUUAUAAACUGAUUAGAUGUUUUAUUUCAACUAUUGGAAAUGGAAACGUUUCCAGGGAAACUAAACUUCUUGUUUUUUUCCCCUGAAAAACGGUUCCUGGAAAGAAAUUUAGUACUUUCUUUGGAGUGCUGAUAUCUUCAGAAUAGGAGUUCUGUCAAAUAACCUACUGCAUUGGCUUGAAAUGCAAAAAGGAGCUUCUGAGAAGAAGUAUGUAAUUGUGUCAUUCGAUCUGAUAGAAGAAAGAUUCGAAGAGAUUUUGUCUUUGCAAGAUCAUACUGACCAAAAUACGUAUGUUGUAAACUAGAGAAAUUGGAGAGACCGCCUUAUCAUUUUCAACGAUCAAAAGGACCGUAGUUUCGGGGCCUGGGAAUUGAAAGAAUCACAUGGACUAGAGUGUUCAGCAUCUCAAGUAAGAUAUUUCCUAAAUAUGAAUAUUAUCCAACUCUAGUAGGCUUUACUAAAGAGCAUAAAGUUUUGGUGGAGAUUGAUGGAGGGAAGUUAGUUUUGUAGAACAAAAAAGGAAAAGACAUUCAGAAGUUUUGAGAUAUAUGAUGAGUGGCAUUGAUUUGAAGGUAUCAUGUGCGAGGAAAGUUUAGUUUCUCCAAUUGUUGAUGAAGCAAGCAAGUUUUAGAAACAAUGCUCUAAGGAAAAGGUAAUAAUGACAUUAUCAGUUUUGGCCUUUGACUUUUUUUUUUUUUUUUUUUCUGAACACUUAUCACUUGCUGCAUCUGAAAUGUGAUUCAUAAUGGCAGUGGCAUCUUUACAACUCUUUAAAAAUAAAAAGCGAAAAAAUAGAAAAGAAAAUUGCGAUAUUCAUAUUCUACCAUGUCGUAUAUUCAUUUGCUUUUUCUGAUCAAGAUGCAUGAGCCUCAAGUGGGUGCAUUUAAGGUUGGGUUUUAAAGUUUAUUGAAGCACUCAACAACUCAUAAAUGCAAUUAUUGCCACAAUAAUGGAAGUAUCUUUCAAAAUUUUAUUUUGAUCAAAAGUCAUCUGGAUUUAAUCUAUAAAUAAAAUCUGCAUGUGCAUAUAGUCUCAGUGUCUCUAAUGGCUGAGAUUUAAAAACUAUGUCCAUCUCUGCUUAGGUGUCGAUGCAUUGACCAAUUAAAUCAACCAUAAAUAGAUUAUUAAUAAGGUGUGGAUCACCCCUUAUGAACUCAACAUCUCUCCCAUGUUUUGCCAAUAUGGGAUUCGCCUAGGGUGUUAUAUACACCCCCUUAGGGAGUCAGCGUCUUUGCUGAGAUUUUCCCCACUAUCGCUCAAGAGGACACGCAGAAUCGCUCUGAUACCAUAAUGUCAUGACCUCGCUCAUACCUGACAAAAUAUUGUCUGCUUUAAACCUUAUUAAUGCCCGUGUGUGUUUGUUUAUGGGGCGCCUCAAAGCUAUAAAUUUCUUAUCAUUUCUUAUCUUUUUGAAGCUAUCAAAAGAUACACUAUAGUUAGCAAUAAGAAUAGUGCUGGCUAAGUGUUGGCAGGAGAAAGAAUCUAGAGAUAAUUUUUAAUAAAGAUGGUUAAUUUAGAAAUUUUAUAUGCGUUUAGUGAAUGAAUAAUGCUGCAUGUAUUUAAAAUAGCACAAAAUUUAAUACAAAAGCAUAAAAAAUUAAAAAAAUUCUUGUGUUGUGGUGAAUUCUUUUCUUGUAAUGAUUUUUUUUUUUCAGUGAUGGCGUACUAUUUUUUAUACUAUCUUUUUUUUAUAUAUAUUGGUAUUGUCAGCCAACCGAUGAAUAAAUUGUAAAAUAUUAAUGUGAAAAAUCUCUGCACCUCUUCGAAUUUUAUUUUUUAAAAGAUAAGGAGAUAAAUGAUUUCAAAUUAAUCUUUUAACUCUCUAACUUUUGUCAAAUUUAAAUUUGAAUAGCCAACAAAAUAAAAUUAAUUGAAAACUCUACCUCCGUACUCCGAGUGCGAUUAUUUUGACUCGAAUUAAUGCCUUAAAAAUUUGAAAAACAGACCAGCACAUUGAAUAUAUAAAAUGUGCCUGUAUAUACAUCACACCCUGCCAAUCACGGUGUUGUAAUAAUUGAAUCAUUGAUCAGUAAAUAUAUCUUAUUGUCCUUUUCUCAUGCGCAUGCAUCAUUACGAAGUCAUGCUAACAGUGUUGUUAGAUUGUAACUUGUUAGAUUAUAACAAAUCAUAUUUGCAAAUAUUCACAUGAGGAGUCAAACAUGCUUGCAUAAAGUUAGUCCACAUUUGCGAGCAAGCGUGAUUAUAUAUAAUGUGCUUCUCUAUUAUAGUGUAUGAUCAAUCAGGCAAGCUUAAUUUAAUUGAUCAUCAGUAUCUAUGGAUGCGAAUCAAGAUCUAGGAGCAAAAGAGUUGUUUCAAGGCCAAGCUCAACUGUAUAAGCUCAUGUUUAAUCAUUUAAGCUCGAUGUCACUCAAGUGCGCGAUUGAGCUAGGCAUAGCGGAUAUAAUUCACAGCCACGGACGGGCCAUCACUCUUUCUGAGUUGGUCUCGGCACUUGAUAUUCAGCCUACAAAAACGACUGGUUUAUUCAGGCUCAUGCGCUUGUUAGUUCACUCGGGCUGCUUUAACAAAACCAAAGUCAAUGGACAAGAAGAAGCAUACGGGCUCACAGCUGCUUCUACUCUGCUCAUCAAAGACAAGCCCUACUGUUUUUCACCAACUGUUUCAGUAUUUCUUGACCCAUGUUUUGUCGCUGCAUUUCAGUCUUUAGGUAGUUGGUUCAAAGGGACUGAGCUCACGUUGUGGGAAACUGUUCAUGGAAUCAAGUUCUGGGAAUUUAUGAAUCAAAACCCUGGAAUAAACCAGCGGUUCAAUGAAGCAAUGGCCAGUGACACUGAAAUACUGACAAGCUUUGUUGUCAAAGCCGAGUGCAAGCAAAUCUUUGAAGGGUUGGGCUCAUUGGUUGACGUAGGAGGUGGCAACGGAUCGCUUUCCAGAAUCAUCUCUGAAGCAUUCCCUGGCAUCAAAUGCACUGUACUCGACCUCCCGCAUGUUGUUGCUAACCUGCCUGAGGCCGACAACUUGAAAUACAUAGCAGGUGACAUGUUUCAGUUUAUCCCUCCGGCAGAUGCCUUUCUCUUCAAGGUAAGAUCCAAUUUUAAAAAUUUAAAACAACUUCUUAACCGUUUUCGUAAAUACCAGAUGAUUUAUUUCAAUUGUUCUGUGUGCAGCACACAUAUCCGGACGUUAGAAUCUUACAAAAUCAGGAUUUGAAUGAUCCAAAUCAGAUUUAAAGUAAAAGCAAAAUGCUACACAACUCUAAAUUUAAUUUAACAUUUGGAUUUUACAGAAUCUAGAAGUUUAGGCUUUAGCAUGAUCAUUUACGUAGUCAUUCUCUAGUGCGGUUACCCUCAUUUUUUCGAGUGUAGAUUCGAAGUUUACCAUAUUGGUAAAGGCUUGUAUAACAUUGAAACUUAUUUUUUCAUAACUUAUAUGUAUAUGUAUUUAUAUGUGCGUGUGUGUGUUUAUAGGCGGAGUAGUAAAGCGUUUUAUCUACAACACUAUAAAAUUAUUUUACAAUAUUUAAAACAACCAAUCUGCAUUCUAAAAAGUAUGAUUUGUGUAUGUGCGCGCGCAUAGAUAGAUAGAUAGACACACGCACGAACUGGGAUUUUAUUAAAAAGAAAAAGUAUAUUUUAACUAAAAUGUCAGAUCAAACAACAGAACUGCACUAUAAGUAGUGGAUAUUAAUUAAAUGAGUGAUUGGCAUGGUUGCAGUUGAUUUUUCAUGGAUUAGGUGAUGAGGAUGGGUUGAAGAUACUGAAGAAACGCAGAGAAGCAAUUGCAAGCAAUGGUAAGAGAGGAAAGGUCAUAAUAAUAGAUAUUGUUAUCAAUGCAGAGGAAGAGGAACCCGAAUUAACCGAAACAAAGUUCUUGUUUGACAUUUUGAUGAGCGUUAACGCUAAUGGAAAAGAGAGAACUGAAAGUGAAUGGGCAAAGCUAUUCUCCGACGCUGGUUUCAGUCACUACAAAAUAACACCUAUAUUUGGCAUGAGAUCCCUCAUUGAAGUCUAUCCAUAAAGAAUUGAGUAACCGUAUUCCCGCAAGUCUCUUGUACUGCUUGAUGGAAUAGCAAAGUUUCGUUCAAGAUGUAUGCGUAGUAGUUGAAAUGUCUCGUAAUGACUAGAAAAUGAGGUGACACACGGGUUUGAAUAUAGGAUGAGUCACUCAAUUAAAAUGCUAUAGUCUUUUGGUAUGGAAACUUAAAUAUCCUAGACCACCCUUUAAUAUAUUAAGAAUAAAGGAUUAGUGUGUACCGUGUUAUAUUGCAUUUUUAUAUUGUUUCCAGCAUCUGCUCUUAUGUUUUAUCUUUACUAAUUAAAUUACGAUCUUUCUUAAGUUAUUGUGUUCCCAAAACAAGUAACUGCAAAAUAAUUUAUAUUGUUACUUUGGAUAUCUUCAAUUAGGUUGUACAUUAAUGAUAAAUGAUUCAAAAUUUAUAUUUGCAAUGUAAGUAAAAAAUAAUAAUAAUUUGUAAAAAAAUUAAAAAAGCAAAAAUAACCUAUUCAAAUUAAUGAGUAAUAUUACUAUUAAAAAUUAAUAUUUCAAAAGUAUAACAUCCCCACGAUUCUUCUAAGCCAAUCAGAAACAUCAUUGGCUAAGAUUGUUUGAUGUAAGCCAAAAUUGAUAUUUAAUUAUUUUAUUUAGUAUUUUAAUUUUUUCAAGCAGAAUUUAUAAUUGGACUUGUAUUUGGGGUGCAUGGAUUCUGUUUUCCGGUUUACUAUUAGAAAGAUUAUGUCACGGGCUUAAUAAUUUAUCAUUAAAAUCCUUAUUUUAUGCGAGGGUUUUAUCUAUCUUGAUCACAUUUCCACUAUGUUAUUACAAAAAUCUUCAAUUAACAUGCAGUAUAAUAUCCAAGUCAACUCAAUCAAGUGAAGCUAAUUAAAACUGAGGAUCAAAUAGCACAAUCAACCUUACAUAACAAGCAAGAAUAAUGGAAGCCAUGAAUUAAUCACUAGCCGUUAGACCUCUAUUCGUUUCUUUUAAUUUAACUAGGUGGAAGCCAAGAAUCUUGGGCAAAACACUAUGCCCCAUAUUGUCUAUGCAUCCAACGAUUCGUCAAUGAAACUUUUUUUUUUAUGGUAUCACAGCCAAUCUUGAGAGUCACAGACAUGCAUGGUUAUUAUGUUUCAAUGAAAAAGAGUUUGCCACUAGUGAACCUCUUAAGAAAGUUGGCUUGCUUGAAUGUAGAUCAGUAUACAAAAGAAAUUCGAAGCUAUUUGUGAUUGUUUGGCUGCCGUCAAGAAACCAGUGGAAGAUGUCGAUAAACAGUGGCAAUUGGCACGUGGACUUGGACCAGACUUGAGACCUGAAGGUAGCGAUGCUGGGAAAACCUCCAUACGGUCAAUUUGGUCCUUUUAAGGUUCAAAAAGUUGAAUUAAUUUUCUUGUAAUGCAAGCUAGUAUCUAAGAUGGUCAAUGGAUCUAGAGAUGGUGGAAAGAAAAAAACACUUAAAGAAAGAUGUAAUUGAUUGAUUAUGUUAACUGCUAGCUCAUUUGUAAAUUUGAAAGAUAACGAAGACUCUAUUGUAAUUCACCCCAUUAAGUGCAGUGUGAUUAUACAAAGAGUAGUAUUAGGCAUCUUGAAAUUUUACCUCAAAUGAUAUGAUAUUCAUAACGAUGGCAUAGUUUAAUUAACUCACGUAAUAUUUGUGAAUAACAUGUUACAUACCAUGCAUAUCACAUAAUAUUUCAGUGUGAAUAUUAUUUUCUCUUUCAUGAUAAAUUGUAUUGUGGGCAUUUAAAUAUACAAUAUCGUAAAAUUUAACUAAAGAGUUGGUGUAACCAAAUAUUUUGAUAAGGAUAUCUAAUGAAAUUUCAAAUAAAUUUCAUUUUGAUCUUAAAUUCCAAGCGACCUGCAGAAUAUAUACACUACGAUUUAUUCAGAGCAAUCCGAAAACGAAAUAGUAUGAGCUUCAGUUUGAUUAAAUAUUUUUCCCAAUACAUUCAGAUUUCAGAAAGUUUCAAAAGAAAGCUGAAAAAAUAUAUCAAUAAUUGAAAUGAAAAAAGUUAGAAGGAGGUAUCUAAAAGUCAAUUUCAACGCCAAUGAUGUGUAAUUCCACAUGAGUAAACUAAUUAAUUGCCAUGAGAAAACGAAACGAAAAGAAAAGAAAGGUGCGUAAAAUUUAAUUUGACAAUAACAGCUACGUUCUCCAACCGCCCCCCCCCCCCCCGCCCCCCGCCCCCCCCAACACCAAAAAAAGGCAUAAAUUUCAUUUGACAAUGAUGUCCUGAUAUCCAUGACCUCAACUUGGGAAAGGAAAAAAAAAAAUUCAUCAUAAAGAAAUUUCAUUUGACAUAUUAUCAUUUAUCUUGCUUCGCUUGGUAUCAUUUGUGCAUUUUAUUGUCUUUGAAGCAUAUGAUUUUUUUUAGUUUGGUACUAUGUUGGUGUUAUUUUAAUUUAUAUAUUAAGAAACGUGAUUGUUAUAUGGAAGAAAUAUUUUGCUGAAAUAAUGGGAUUCAUUCUAAACCUAGACAUUGACUAGCUAGCCGUACACUACAAGAAAAUGAGACAUUUCCAAGAAAUAAAAGAUACACUGUCGGAAAUAGACUUAUUUUGUUGUUUAAUGACCCCUAUUAUUUUAUAUAAUAACAUUAUUUUAUUAUUUUAUUAUUUUUAUUGUUGAAAUAUCUAUAUUAGGGAAGUAAUGUAACAUAAUAAUAAUAUACGAAAUAUACUAAAUGUAAUUUCAUUAAUUUCAAGAAUUUAUAAAAUCACAUUCAUCAUUCAAAAAUGCUACAAAAAUAUCAAUUUUAUAAUAUCUUUUACAGAAAAAAAUACCAAAUUAUAAACAAAAUGAUAUCACCAUAUCUUAGAUAUGUUCAAUCAUCCUCUAAAACAACUUGAGUUGCUGAAUCAUUUGCCUCAACUUCAUCAUCCUCAUACCCAUCAUCAUCUUCUCUCGUCAAAACAAUGUCCUAGGUGAAAGAAGGAAUUUUAAUCAUUAUUAUUACCAAAACAAGAACUUGUAUAAAACAUAAUCAAGAAGCUGAGACUAAUGAGAAAAAUAUUGUAAUAAAAACAAGUUUAUAUAGAUGCAUAGUCUCCAUUUCAAAAAAUCUAAUAAUUAUUUCAUCAUUCACCUAUAUUAGAAGCUUGUCCAUAAUUACUUAAGUUCAUCAACUAAUAGAGCAAUGACAAGUCACCAAUCAUUUUUUGUGAGAACUCAAAGCAUAGAAAAAUUCAUUCACUUAAUCUAUUAAUAAAAUGAAAUAAACAAUCUAUACCUUACGACAUGAUUCUUGUACAGACUUUCCAAGAACAAGUUUUAUCAUUCUUUUCAACUUCUGGAUUCCUUUCUCUAAGUCUUUUACUUUUACUUCUAAAUUACUACAUUGAUGCUUGUUACGUCCUUGACUUGGAGAACCAUACACAUCCUUGCCUUUGAUGCCUGCUCCCUGACCAACAACACGACCAUGUGCUGCUUCUCUUGUCACUUCUCGAUAUAUUUUCCAUUCAUCCACUGGCAAGCCUUGAUCUACAACAGUGGAUCUCAUUGAUUCCAUUGUUUCCUAUAAUAAAUAAAUACAUUUGUGUGAGUGCAUAUAGUAAUGAAAUCAUGCAAAUAAAUCAGGAAUAUUAUGAAAAUUUAAUAUCAAAUACACACAUGCAUUUCCUUUGCCUUGUUACUUGCCAAUGUCCCCUUACAUGAAACAUCUUGAAUAAAUUAAGUGGCUUAAGUUCAGUACCUAUUUGUUACUGCAAUAAAGAAUUGAAAUUGAAUAUGAUCAUAAUAAAUAAACGCACUUCUUUUAUGAGCAAAGUCAAAUAUUUAUCUUCCCAUUUUCUUUUCUAUGCUUGGCCAUUGGGACGAACUUGUAGUAUGAAUAAGUUUGGACUUGGUUCAAUUCCUCUUGCUUGUUGUGCUUGUUUUCUAUAUAUAAGUUAAAAAAAAGCAUAAAAUCAACUUUGUUAUUCUAAAUCUAUUGUUGAGUACUAGAGAAUGCAUAUUUAUAGAGGGUAAAAUUGUCAUUUUAUUCUCGAAGUCUCACUAACAUUUUCACUUUUACGUGUUUAAAUUCUCUAAGCUUUUAUAAUCUGUGUUUUAUUAUAAUUUAAGUAUUUUAUGUAUUUCAGGGAUAUUUUAAUCAUUUCAUAACUAACGAGAAGUCAGACAGCAAAACGGAUGGCAUUUUUGAACUCAGAAUGGUUGAAAAUUUUAGGAGGAGUAUAAAUGAGUAUUCGACAUAUAUAUGGUACCGUUCAAAUAUAAGGUAAUAUUCACAAGUACAGCAUUGUUUCACAUAUACGAUAUGAUAAUGUGGCAUUGCAAUGAUGUAGCAGGAUGCUACUGGACCAAAAUACUGAUGUAGCAUUGACUGAUGAUGUGGUGUUGACUAAUGUGGUGUUGACUAAUGUGGUGUUGACUAAUGAUGUGUACCAACUAAUCAAAGCUUGCCAUGUGGCGCAAUCGUGAGCGUCCGAAUUGUUUUCAUCUGAUGGCCACGAUUUACCCAUUGUAUAUAUAAUAGAGGGCUCCUCAGCCUAAUUUAACACCCUUGAAUUCAUUUUCGAGCUCCAUUUUCUAUAAUUCUCUCAUCAUCUUGUAUUUUCUACAUAUUUUAAUAAAAUUAUCAGUUUACCCCUUAUUCAAUAAUAAGUGGCUAAUUUUGUUUCAAACUUGGGUUAAAGGUAAAAUCUCAACAUGAUCCAUGGGCUUAGGUAAAUUUAAUUUAUUUUUCUUUUUUAUUUAUGUUGUUGUUUUGAUUCAUUGCCAUAAUAUAAGAAACUUUGCAUCUAAUAACUUUUCCAACCUUUUAUGAUGUAGAUUUUUCUGAAAGUUGAAUUGCAAUUCAAUGUUUGCUUAUCCAAUUAUUUAUUGGACAAAAAGGAAUUUAAAAAUAAAACUUUAGUCAUUUUAAAAGAAUCGAACAUGCUACCAACUCUCUUGUUAGAAGUUGUAAUUUAAUUUAUAGAUUCUAGGCUUCCAUGAACUUGUGAAGUAUUAAGUUAUUUCUACAGUAAAACACCCCUUGGUAAAUUGCAAGGGUUGUUUUCACUAUAGAACGACAAUAAGACAGCCUUUGUAGAUUUUUAGGGGCUUUUUGCUGUGUUCUAAAAUCAAAACAGCUCUUAGCAAUUCUUUGGACUAUUUUGUUUUGAAAACAUUUUGAAGAUUGUUGAGGAAAAAGGGAAAUAACAGCAUUAUUUUAAUAAACUGAUGUAAAUGCUAUUAUUAUUACUAAUUUGCAGGCUAUUUGCUAUGACUUCGACAAUGGUGUCUAUCAUAAAUAAAAUUACUUUCUUUUAUAAUUCUUCUAAAGGUAUCAAUUGAGAAUUUAGUGCAAACUGUAGCUAUUUUGCAAUAGAUUUGUUGUCAAAAUAGCUGCUGAAAGUUUACAGGAGCUUUUUUUUUUUCUACAGUAAAACACCCCUUGGUAAAUUGCAAGGGUUGUUUUCACUAUAGAACGACAAUAAGACAGCCUUUGUAGAUUUUUAGGGGCUUUUUGCUGUGUUCUAAAAUCAAAAUAGCUCUUAGCAAUUCUUUGGACUAUUUUGUUUUGAAAACAUUUUGAAGAUUGUUGAGGAAAAAGGGAAAUAACAGCAUUAUUGUUUUAGGAGGCUUGAUGAUGAGUUUGAUAAAUUUUGCAAGUGUUACCAGACUAAAGUUAAAAAGUUUAUGUUGAGGCUAAAAGUUUAGGUGAGUAAAUGCACAUUUUGGUCCCUCUCGGGAUAAAAACUAAGAAAUUGGAAGGAGUUAUGCAGGAUUCUGUACAACAAGCCUGAAGAACAAAAGCAUGAAAGCGGGAUGAUUUUGAAAAUUCUUGAAUAGUAUAUAUCUCUACUUGCUUUUAUACUAUAUCUGUGGCAUUAUUUUUGAAGUUUGACAAUAUUAAUCUUGCAAUUAAUACUUUAAUGCAAAGAAGGAAUACACUCAGGAUGAACUUAAUGAGGUUCUUUUGGAGUGGGCUAACCAUUUUUUUCCACAUCCUGGUCGCAUUUGCAAAUUGGUUAGUAUAAGUAUGAAACUAUAGAUGCACCUUGUUAUUAGUUGUUACAAUUUGUUGAAAUUAAAGUUGAAGUGUUAAACUGUAAUGGUUGUUGUUAAGGAUUGUAGUAUAGAUGAUAUGCAUUUGAUAAUAUUAGGUAUUUUGAUUGAUUUUGGUGUAGAUUGGGUUGAUGGGUAUAGGUCAGAGUGUUGCUGUGUAUAUUGCUAGAGUUAGAGCAUUGUCGCAAGAUGGUGGGUUGUUACGUAUGAUUUGGGGUAUUAGUUGGAGUGUUACUGGGUAUGUGGCUGGAAUUAUGAUCAAGAUGCAUGAGCCUUAAGUGGGUGAAUUUGAGGCAGGAUUUUAAUGUUCACUGAAGCACUCAACUACUUACAACAACUCCUAAAUGCAUAUGAAGUAAUUACUGCCACAAUAAUGGAGGUAUCGUUCAAAUUUUUAUUUAGAGACAGUCAUCUGGGUUUCAACUAUAAAUAAAAUCUGCAUUUGCAUAUAGUCUCAGUGUCUCUAAUGGCUGAUGUUUAAAAACAAUGUCCAGCUCAGCUUAGGUGUUGAUGCAUUGACCAAUUAAAUCAACGAUAAAUAAAUUACUAGCAAGAUUAACAUUAUGAUAUUCUUGAAAACAAUCGUUUGAUGAUUAUAAAUCCAUUAGAGGUUUCAUUUCGACUGAUAGAGAUGUUUCCAAGGAAACAUAUUUAGGUUUUUUUUUUCCGUGAAAAUAAGUCCUGAAAAAGAACUUAGUACCUUCACUUUAGAAUUGACAUUUGUGGAUCAGGAAUUGGCUUGGAACACAAGAGAGGGGUUUAGAUAAUUAGCACUCACAAAUAAUACAACUCGUAUUAUUGAAAAAAAAAAACUUGUAUUCUGAUUUUGAUUGUUUACAAAGUGUGAAUUUACAAAAGUUAUGUACAUAAUUAAAUAACUAGCUAUCAGAGAUUUAAUUACAUAACUACAUAAAUACAGCUGCAGUACAUAAUAUGCUUUCCUAAACUACAAAAAAGGUAAUAAAAUACUUUCUUUUUUGAGAUACACGAUAUUAUAAAUUCUUGAUAGGUAAAUUCAAUGAUAACCUUGACUUGUGCAAGCUAUGUUGUGUGUUUUAACUGUUGGCAAAUUUUCUUUUGUUGACCAUUUACAGCUUGCUUAUUACUUCCCCUCAAGUUGGCAAGUGAUAUACGAUCUGGAUGCUAAGGUUUUGUCAAAAAUUAGGAAACAUGACUUUCGAGAGAGCUUUGGUGAAUAUAUAGAUAAUUUCUAUGUAUGGCAAUGGGGAGGGGAGGGGAGGGGACCGACAUCCCCGCACCCAUCCCCGAUGUUAUUUAUAUAUCCCCGUCCCCAUCAGAAUUGCUUGAGGGGAUCCCCGUCCCCUCCCCGAAUAAUAAGAGGGGAUUCCUGAGGGGAGGGGACGGGGAUCACCAAGGAGUCCCCAAUCUCCGAAUAACUAAUACAUUUUUAUUUUUAAACUUGAUUUAAUCAUAUUAAAAUAAAAAUUUAAACAAAAAUAAGGUUUGACAAUAUAUCUUAGAUUAACAUGGUCGGGCAAUGAAUAACGUCGGAAGCGAAUUUAGAAGAUUAAAUCCACCCACAUUCGAAGGCAGUAUAGAUCCUAUCAUAGCAAACCAAUGGUUGCGAACCAUGGAAAGAAUGAUAGAAGUAUGCAAAGUACCAGAAUAAAAAAAAAAAAGUCUCAUGUGUAUCCUUUAUGCUACGAGGAGCGGCAGAAUACUGGUGGGACUCAGUUAAACGAAUUUAAAAUGAAGCAAUAAUGCAAUGGGUGGAAUUUAAAGAACACUUCUAUAACAAAUACUUUUCAGAGAAUGUUCGCUCAGCCAAAAGAAGAGAGUUUGUUUAUUUAUAAUAAGGAAGUAUGUCUGUGCUAGAGUACAUCCGAAAAUUUGAUGAGCUCUCUCGAUAUGCUCCACAUAUGGUUGCAACGGAAGACUUGAAAAAUGACCACUUUAUGCAAGGAUUGCAUAAAAAUCUCACAAAAGACUUAAAGGUAGCUAGAGUUCAUGAUGCUUCCUUCAACGAUCUGAUCGAUCGAGCCUUGGUAAUUGAACAAGCAGAUGAAGAAAAGAAGGAAGAAAAACGAAGAAACAAAAGAAGUAUGGACCAGGGGAACUUUAUAAAACAACACUCAAAUAAUAAUAAGAGAAAGGGAACCCAAUGGUCCAAGAUUAGAGUAAAAGCAAACGCCAAAGAAUCAUCAAAAGGAAGUCCCACAAAAACCAAAGUGCAAUCAAUACGGUAGAACUCACCUUGGACAAUGUUGAGCACAUACCAGAACAUGUUUCAAAUGUGGAAAGGAAGACACUUCAUUGGGGACUGCUAGGAAAAUGGUACACAACAAGAAAAGACUAAUGCUUGAGUAUUCACACUCAACGAGACGGAUGCAUAAGGAAACCUCUCAGUAAUAUCAGGUGAACUAUCUAACUCCAAAACUCAUGCAUAUGUGCUAAUAAACUCAGGAGCUACACAUUCAUUUGCCUCACCAGCAUUCAUUAAGAAAAUAAAAAAUGUCCCUGGCAUAAUAAAUAGGCCUUUUAGUGUCAUGGUAUCAUCUGGUGAAAUAUUGAAUUCAGGACAAUUAGUUAAGGCAUGUGAGGUUGGUAUUAGUGGUAAUACACUAUAUGUUGACCUAAUAAUUAUUAAGAUGCAUGACUAUGACAUAAUUCUUGGCAUGGAUUGGCUAUGGAAGCACUUUGCCAAGAUAUAUUGUAAGAAAAAAAAGGUAACUUUUCGACCAUUACAAAAGGAAUCGUUUACAUUUAAAGGAGAAUGCAAAGAGAACAAAAUGUCUAUCAUUUCUACAUUAAAAGAAGCUAGACUAUUAAAUGGAGGAUGUGACGGGUACUUGGCAUGUGUGGUCAUCGAAACAUAGGGUGCGUUUGGGAUUGAGGUUGGGCAGCUGUAGCUUAAAAGCUACAGCACUAAAGUGUUUGGUAAACACUAGCUGUUGUAGCUUUUAAGCUAUAUUGUUAUGAUUUUUCACUUGUAUAAUAUAAAAUUUAUUAUGUCUUUAAUAAUUUUAUCAAAAUUAUUAUUUAAAUUUUAUAUUUACUAUAUAUUAUUAACUUUUGUUUCAUAAUUACAACUUUUUUUUUCACAGCAACUGUAGUUUAAAAGGUACAGCACCUCAAUCCCAAACGCACCCAUAAGAGCAAAGACCAAAUUUGAAAGAUAUUUCAAUGGUGAACGAAUUUCAUGAGGUCUUUCUUGAAAAACUCACAAGAUUGCCACUGAAUUGAGAAAUUGAAUUCAAAAUCGAUUUGCUAACAAGAACUGCUCCAAUUUCAAAGGCGCUUUAUAAGAUGUCCCCACCAGAACUAAAAGAGUUAAAGAGUCAAUUGCAAGAAUUACUAGACAUGCAAAUGUGAAGCACCAGUAUUGUUCGUAAAAAAGAAGGAUGGAUCAAUGCAAAUGUGCAUCGACUACUGAGAGCUGAAUAAGGUGACUAUCAAGAACAAAUACCUGCUUCCACGCAUUGAUGACUUGUUCGAUUAAUUGCAAGGAGCAGCGGUAUUUUUAAAGAUUAAUCUAUGAUCAGGAUAUCACCAGUUGAGAAUCAGGGAAGAAGAUAUUCUUAAAACAGUAUUCAGAAAACUUUAUGGACACUAUAAGUUUGUCGUAAUGCCAUUUGGUCUAACUAAUGCCCCAACAGCCUACAUGGACCUCAUGAACAUGGUAUUUAAAGACUACCUAGACAAAUUCAUAGUGGUAUUCAUUAAUGAUAUUUUGGUCUACUCACGAUCAAAGGAAGAGCAUGUUAAGCACUUAAGGAUUUUUCUUCAGACCUUGAAAGAGAAGCAACUUUAUGCAAAACUAAAAAAAUAUGAGUUUUAGCUUGAAAAAGUAACUUUCCUUGGACACGUGGUGUAUAAGGAUGGAAUUUUAGUAGACCCCUUAAAGGUGGAAGAUGUAAGCCAAUUGUCUAGAUCGACUAAUGCCAAAAAAGUCAAAAGCUUCUUGGGUUUGGCUGGAUACUACCGAAGAUUUGUGGAAGGUUUCUCGAAGAUCGCAAUGCCACUGACCCAGUUAACAAAGAAAAAUACUAAGUUUCUAUGGACUCUAGAAUGCUUGAAAAGUUUUAAAGAACUAAAAAGACGACAAAUCACUACUCCAAUCCUAGCCGUUCCUAGUAGCUCUGAGGAAUUUGUCAUCUAUAGCGAUGCCUCUAAAAUGGCAUAGGAUGUGUCCUCAUGCAAAAUGGGAAAGUCAUUUCAUAUGCUUCCAGACAAUUGAAAGAAUAUGAGAAAAAUUAUCCAACGCAUGAUUUACAGUUGGCAGUACUAAAAAUAUGGCAUUACUAUUUAAUGAGGGCGCAUUGUAAGAUUUACACUGAUCAUAAGAACCUCAAAUACUUCUUUACACAAAUGGAGUUAAAUAUAUGACAAUUACGUUGGAUAGAGCUUGCCAAGGAUUACGAUUGUGAAAUAAACUAUCAUCCUAGAAAAGCAAACAUGGUAGCAGAUGCACUAAGUAGAAAGUCAAGCUUGUCAGCUUUAAGGAUUCUACCUAAACCAUUACAAGAUGACAUAUGCAAGGCAGAAAUCGAGCUAGUAGUAGGAAAAUUAGCUAACAUGACACUUCGUUCAACUUUAUUAGAAAAGAUUAAAGAGGGGCAGGAAAGUGAUUCCAACUUGAAGAAGUUGAAGAUAGAAGCCAACUCAAAGGAGAUGUCAUUUAAAAGUUAGAGAGGGGAAUCAUCUUUUGCAAGGACAGGAUAUGUGUGCCAGACAAUAAAGAUAAAAAAGAAAGAAAUUCUAUUUGAAGCUCACACAACUCCACGUUCACUUUACCUUGGUAUAACAAAAAUGUACAAAAACUUAAAGAAGAAUUAUUGGUGGCCUGGAAUGAAGAAAGAUAUAGUGGAGUUCGUGAAAAAAUGUCUCACUUGUCAAUAAAUCAAAGUGGAGCACGAGAGACUAGCAGGACUUUUGUAAUCUAAUCAAAGCCCUUAAUGGAAAUGGGAAGAAAUCACGAUGGACUUCAUCGUUAUUCUUUCAAAAACUACCAAAAUGCAUGAUGCCAUUUGGGUGAUCAUUGAUCGACUUACAAAGUCUACUCACUUCUUGCCUAUUCGAAUGACGUACACCAUGGACCAACUUGCAGAAAUAUAUGUAAAAGAGAUAGUAAGACUACAUGGUGUGCCCAUUUUUAUUAUUUCUGAUCAAGAUGCAAGGUUUACUUUGACAUUCUGGGAAACGUUAUAUAAGGCUAUGGGGACAAGAUCGAAGUUCAAUAUAACAUUUCACCCUCAAACAGAUGACCAAUCAGAAAGAACGAUUCAGGCGCUUGAAGAUAUGCUGUGAGGAUGUGUUAUUGACUUUGAAAGAUCAUGGAGCAAGUAUUUACCAUUGGUUAAAUUCGCUUACAACAAUAGUUACCAAGCAACAAUUAACAUGGCACCAUACGAAGCUCUAUAUGGUAGAAAAUGUAGAUCGCCUAUUCAUUAGGAUGAGAUGGGCGAGUAAAGACAUCUUGGACCUGAGUUAAUUACUACCUCAUCUGAAGCGAUCAAGAAAAUACGUCAAAGAAUGCAGGCAGCUCAAAGUCGACAGAAAAGUUAUGCAGAUAAGAGGCAAAAGCCUUUGGAAUAUUGGUGACAAAGUAUUUCUAAAGGUUUCCCAAUAAAAGGAUCAAUGAGAUUUAAGAAAAAAGGAAAAUUAAGUUCGAGGUUUAUUAGGUUUUAAUAGAUUUUAAAUAUAAUAGAUUUUAUUUUGAUCACAUUUCCACUAUGUUAUUACAAAAAUCUUCAAUUAACAUGCAGUAUAGUAUCCAAGUCAACUCAAUCAAGUGAAGCUAAUUAAAACUGAGGAUCAAAUAGCACAAUCAACCUUACAUAACAAGCAAGAAUAAUGGAAGCCAUGAAUUAAUCACUAGCCGUUAGACCUCUAUUCGUUUCUUUUAAUUUAACCAGGUGGAAGCCAAGAAUCUUGGGCAAAACACUAUGCCCCAUAUUGUCUAUGUAACCAACAAUUCGUCAAUGAAACUUUUUUUUUUAUGGUAUCACAGCCAAUCUUGAGAGUCACAGACAUGCAUGGUUAUUAUGUUUCAAUGAAAAAGAGUUUGCCACUAGUGAACCUCUUAAGAAAGUUGGCUUGCUUGAAUGUAGAUCAGUAUACAAAAGAAAUUCGAAGCUAUUUGUGAUUGUUUGGCUGACGUCAAGAAACCAGUGGAAGAUGUCGAUAAACAGUGGCAAUUGGCACGUGGACUUGGACCAGACUUGAGACCUGAAGGUAGCGAUGCUGGGAAAACCUCCAUACGGUCAAUUUGGUCCUUUUAAGGUUCAAAAAGUUGAAUUAAUUUUCUUGUAAUGCAAGCUAGUAUCUAAGAUGGUCAAUGGAUCUAGAGAUGGUGGAAAGAAAAAAACACUUAAAGAAAGAUGUAAUUGAUUGAUUAUGUUAACUGCUAGCUCAUUUGUAAAUUUGAAAGAUAACGAAGACUCUAUUGUAAUUCACCCCAUUAAGUGCAGUGUGAUUAUACAAAGAGUAGUAUUAGGCAUCUUAAAAUUUUACCUCAAAUGAUAUGAUAUUCAUAACGAUGGCAUAGUUUAAUUAACUCACGUAAUAUUUGCGAAUAACAUGUUACAUACCAUGCAUAUCACAUAAUAUUUCAGUGUGAAUAUUAUUUUCUCUUUAAUGAUAAAUUGUAUUGUGGGCAUUUAAAUAUACAAUAUUGUAAAAUUUAACUAAAGAGUUGGUGUAACCAAUAUUUUGAUAAGUAUAUCUAAUGAAAUUUCAAAUAAAUUUCAUUUUGACCUUAAAUUCCAAGCGACCUGCAGAAUAUAUACACUACGAUUUAUUCAGAGCAAUCCGAAAACGAAAUAAUAUGAGCUUUCAGUUUGAUUAAAUAUUUUUCCCAAUACAUUCAGAUUUCAGAAAGUUUCAAAAGAAAGCUGAAAAAAUAUAUCAAUAAUUGAAAUGAAAAAAGUUGGAAGGAGGUAUCUAAAAGUCAAUUUCAACGCCAAUGAUGUGUAAUUCCACAUGAGUAAACUAAUUAAUUGCCAUGAGAAAACGAAAAGAAAAGAAAAGAAAGGUGCGUAAAAUUUAAUUUGACAAUAACAGCUACGUUCUCCAACCCCCCCCCCCCCCCCAACACCAAAAAAAGGCAUAAAUUUCGUUUGACAAUGAUGUCCUGAUAUCCAUGAUGUCAACUUGGGAAAGGAAAAAAAAAAAAAACUUCAUCAUAAAGAAAUUUCAUUUGACAUAUUAUCAUUUAUCUUGCUUCGCUUGGUAUCAUUUGUGCAUUUUAUUGUCUUUGAAGCAUAUGAUUUUUUUUGUUUGGUACUAUGUAGGUGUUAUUUUAAUUUAUAUAUUAAGAAACGUGAUUGUUAUAUGGAAGAAAUAUUUUGCUGAAAUAAUGGGAUUCAUUCUAAACCUAGACAUUGACUAGCUAGCCGUACACUGCAAGAAAAUGAGACAUUUCCAAGAAAUAAAAGAUACACUGUCGGAAAUAGACUUAUUUUAUUGUUUAAUGACCCCCAUUAUUUUAUAUAAUAACAUUAUUUUAUUAUUUUAUUAUUUUUACUGUUGAAAUAUCUAUAUUAGGGAAGUAAUGUAACAAACAUAAUAAUAAUAUACGGAAUAUACUAAAUGUAAUUUCAUUAAUUUCAACAAUUUAUAAAAUCACAUUCAUCAUUCAAAAAUGCAACAAAAAUAUCAAUUUUAUAAUAUCUUUUACAAAAAAAAAAUACCAAAGUAUAAACAAAAUGAUAUCACCAUAUCUUAGAUAUGUUCAAUCAUCCUCUAAAACAACUUGAGUUGCUGAAUCAUUUGCCUCAACUUCAUCAUCCUCAUACCCAUCAUCAUCUUCUCUCGUCAAAACAAUGACCUAGGUGAAAGAAGGAAUUUUAAUCAUUAUUAUUACCAAAACAAGAACUUGUAUAAAAUAUAAUCAAGAAGCUGAGACUAAUGAGAAAAAUAUUGUAAUAAAAACAAGUUUAUAUAGAUGCAUAGUCUCCAUUUCAAAAAAUCUAAUAAUUAUUUCAUAAUUCACCUAUAUUAGAAAAUUGUCCAUAAUUACUUAAGUUCAUCAACUAAUAGAGCAAUGACAAGUCACCAAUCAUUUUUUGUGAGAACUCAAAGCAUAGAAAAAUUCAUUCACUUAAUCUAUUAAUAAAAUGAAAUAAACAACCUUUACCUUAUGACAUGAUUCUUGUACAGACUUUCCAAGAACAAGUUUUAUCAUUCUUUUCAACUUCUGGAUUUCUUUCUCUAAGUCUUUUACUUUUACUUCUAAAUUACUACAUUGAUGCUUGUUACGUCCUUGACUUGGAGAAACAUACACAUCCUUGCCUUUGAUGCCUGCUCCCUGACCAACAACACGACCAUGUGCUGCUUCUCUUGUCACUUCUCGAUAUAUUUUCCAUUCAUCCACUGGCAAGCCUUGAUCUACAAUAGUGGAUCUCAUUGAUUCCAUUGUUUCCUAUAAUAAAUAAAUACAUUUGUGCGAGUGCAUAUAGUAAUGAAAUCAUGCAAAUAAAUUAGGAAUAUUAUGAAAAUUUAAUAUCAAAUACACACAUGCAUUUCCUUUGCCUUGUUACUUGCCAAUGUCCCCUUACAUGAAACAUCUUGAAUAAAUUAAGUGGAUUAAGUUCAGUACCUAUUUGUUACUGCAAUAAAGAAUUGAAAUUGAAUUUGAUCAUAAUAAAUAAACGCACUACUUUUAUGAGCAAAGUCAAAUAUUUUAUCUUCCCAUUUUCUUUUCUAUGCUUAGCCAUUGGGACGAACUUGUAGUAUGAAUAAGUUUGGACUUGGUUCAAUUCCUCUUACUUGUUGUGCUUGUUUUCUAUAUAUAAAUUAAAAAAAAGCAUAAAAUCAACUUUGCUAUUCUAAAUCUAUUGUUGAGUACUAGAGAAUGCAUAUUUAUAAAGGGUAAAAUUGUCAUUUUAUGCUCAAUGUCUCACUAACAUUUUCACUUUUACGUGUUUAAAUUCUCUAAGUUUUUAUUAUCUGUGUUUUAUUAUAAUUUAAGUAUUUUAUGUAUUUCAGGGAUAUUUUGGUCAUUUCAUAACUAACGAGAAGUCAGACAGCAAAACGGAUGGCAUUUUUGAACUCAGAAUGGUUGAAAAUUUUAGGAGGAGUAUAAAUGAGUAUUCGACAUAUAUGUGGUACCGUUCAAAUAUAAGGUAAUAUUCACAAGUACAGCAUUGUUUCACAUAUACGAUAUGAUAAUGUGGCAUUGCAAUGAUGUAGCAGGAUGCUACUGGACCAAAAUACUGAUGUAGCAUUGACUGAUGAUGUGGCAGCAUCUUAUGGGACCGAAAUGCUGAUGUGGUGUUGACUAAUGAUGUGUACCAACUAAUCAAAGCUUGCCAUGUGGUGCAAUCGUGAGCGUCCGAAUUAUUUUCAUCUGAUGGCCACGAUUUACCCAUUGUAUAUAUAAUAGAGGGCUCCUCAGCCUAAUUUAACACCCUUGAAUUCAUUUUCGAGCUCCAUUUUCUAUAAUUCUCUCACCAUCUUGUAUUUUCUACAUAUUUUAAUAAAAUUAUCAGUUUACCCCUUAUUCAAUAAUAAGUGGCUAAUUUUGUUUCAAACUUGGGUUAAAGGUAAAAUCUCAACAUGAUCCAUGGGCUUAGGUAAAUUUAAUUUAUUUUUCUUUUUUAUUUAUGUUGUUGUUUUGAUUCAUUGCCAUAAUAUAAGAAACUUUGCAUCUGAUAACUUUUCCAACCUUUUAUGAUGUAGAUUUUUCUGAAAGUUGAAUUGCAAUUCAAUGUUUGCUUAUCCAAUUAUUUAUUGGACAAAAAGGAAUUAAAAAUAAAACUUUAGUCAUUUUAAAAGAAUCGAACAUGCUACCAACUCUCUUGUUAGAAGUUGUAAUUUCAUUUAUAGAUUCUAGGCUUCCAUGAACUUGUGAAGUAUUAAGUUAUCUCUUGCAAAAAAAAUGUAUUCACUCUAAUGGAACUAAUUAUUAUGGGAAAGGUGAUGUUUCUAGUUCUGGAUAAUUUCUUUUUCUUUAAUGCAUAUAGUUAUUUUAGCCUACAUUUCUUUGUUAGUUAGAUAAUUCACAUAUAUGCAAAUGAAUUAUUUAUUCCAUUUACAUUUCUUUGCUAAAAAAAAUAAAAACAAUUUAAUAAACUGAUGCAAAUGCUAUUAUUAUUACUAAUUUGCAGGCUAUUUGCUAUGACUUCGACAAUGGUGUCUAUCAUAAAUAACAUUACUUUCUUUUAUAAUUCUUCUAAAGGUAUCAAUUGAGAAUUUAGUGCAAACUUUAGCUAUUUUGCAAUAGAUUUGUUGUCAAAAUAGCUGCUGAAAGUUUACAGGAGCUUUUUUUUUUCUACAGUAAAGCACCCCUUGGUAAAUUGCAAGGGUUGUUUUCACUAUAGAACGAAAAUAAGACAGCCUUUGUAGAUUUUUAGGGGCUUUUUGCUGUGUUCUAAAGUCAAAACAGCUCUUAGCAAUUCUUUGGACUAUUUUGUUUUGAAAACAUUUUGAAGAUUGUUGAGGAAAAAGGGAAAUAGCAGCAUUAUUUUUUUAGGAGGCUUGAUGAUGAGUUUGAUAAAUUUUGCAAGUGUUACCAGACUAAAGUUAAAAAGUUUAUGUUGAGGCUAAAAGUUUAGGUGAGUAAAUGCACAUUUUGGUCCCUCUCGGGAUGAAAACUAAGAAAUUGGAAGGAGUUAUGCAGGAUUCUGUACAACAAGCCUGAAGAACAAAAGCAUGAAAGCGGGAUGAUUUUGAAAAUUCUUGAAUAGUAUAUAUCUCUACUUGCUUUUAUACUAUAUCUGUGGCAUUAUUUUUGAAGUUUGACAAUAUUAAUCUUGCAAUUAAUACUUUAAUGCAAAGAAGGAAUACACUCAGGAUGAACUUAAUGAGGUUCUUUUGGAGUGGGCUAACCAUUUUUUUCCACAUCCUGGUCGCAUUUGCAAAUUGGUUAGUAUAAGUAUGAAACUAUAGAUGCACCUUGUUAUUAGUUGUUACAAUUUGUUGAAAUUAAAGUUGAAGUGUUAAACUAUAAAGGUUGUUGUUAAGGAUUGUAGUAUAGAUGAUAUGCAUUUGAUAAUAUUAGGUAUUUUGAUUGAUUUUAGUGUAGAUUGGGUUGCUGAGUAUAGGUCAGAGUACUUUAUGGACACUAUAAGUUUGUCGUAAUGCCAUUUGGUCUAACUAAUGCCCCAACAGCCUACAUGGACCUCAUGAACAUGGUAUUUAAAGACUACCUAGACAAAUUCAUAGUGGUAUUCAUCAAUGAUAUUUUGGUCUACUCACGAUCAAAGGAAGAGCAUGUUAAGCACUUAAGGAUUUUUCUUCAGACCUUGAAAGAGAAGCAACUUUAUGCAAAACUAAAAAAAUAUGAGUUUUAGCUUGAAAAAGUAACUUUCCUUGGACACAUCGUGUCUAAGGAUGGAAUUUUAGUAGACCUUUUAAAUGUGGAAGAUGUAAACCAAUUGUCUAGAUCGACUAAUGCCAAAAAAGUCAAAAGCUUCUUGGGUUUGGCUGGAUACUACGGAAGAUUUGUGGAAGGUUUCUCGAAGAUCGCAAUGCCACUGACCCAGUUAAUAAAGAAAAAUACUAAGUUUCUAUGGACUCUAGAAUGCUUGAAAAGUUUUAAAGAACUAAAAAGACGACUAAUCACUACUCCAAUCCUAGCCGUUCCUAGUAGCUCUGAGGAAUUUUUCAUCUAUAACGAUGCCUCUAAAAUGGCAUAGGAUGUGUCCUCAUGCAAAAUGGGAAAGUCAUUUCAUAUGCUUCCAGACAAUUGAAAGAAUAUGAGAAAAAUUAUCCAACGCAUGAUUUAGAGUUGGCAGUACUAAAAAUAUGGCAUUACUAUUUAAUGAGGGCACAUUUUAAGAUUUACACUGAUCAUAAGAACCUCAAAUACUUCUUUACACAAAUGGAGUUAAAUAUACGACAAUGACGUUGGAUAGAGCUUGCCAAGGAUUACGAUUGUGAAAUAAACUAUCAUCCUAGAAAAGCAAACAUGGUAGCAAAUGCAAUAAGUAUAAAGUCUAGCUUGUCAGCUUUAAGGAUUCUACUUAAGCCAUUACAAGAUGACAUAUGCAAGGCAGAAAUCGAGCUAGUAGUAUGAAAAUUAGCUAACAUGACACUUCGUUCAACUUUAUUAGAAAAGAUUAAAGAGGGGCAGAAAAGCGAUUCCAACUUGAAGAAGUUGAAGAUAGAAGCCAACUCAAAGGAGAUGUCAUUUAAAAGUCAGAAAGGGGAAUCAUCUUUUGCAAGGACAGGAUAUGUGUGCCAGACAAUAAAGAUAAAAGAAAGAAAUUCUAUUUGAAGCUCACACAACUCCAUGUUCACUUUACCUUGGUAUAACAAAAAUGUACAAAAACUUAAAGAAGAAUUAUUGGUGGCCUGGAAUGAAGAAAGAUAUAGUGGAGUUCGUGAAAAAAUGUCUCACUUGUCAAUAAAUCAAAGUGGAGCACGAGAGACUAGCAGGACUUUUGUAAUCUAAUCAAAGCCCUUAAUGGAAAUGGGAAGAAAUCACGAUGGACUUCAUCGUUAUUCUUUCAAAAACUACCAAAAUGCAUGAUGCCAUUUGGGUGAUCAUUGAUCGACGUACACCAUAGACCAACUUGCAGAAAUAUAUGUAAAAGAGAUAGUAAGACUACAUGGUGUGCCCAUUUUUAUUAUUUCUGAUCAAGAUGCAAGGUUUACUUUGACAUUCUGGGAAACGUUAUAUAAGGCUAUGGGGACAAGAUCGAAGUUCAAUAUAACAUUUCACCCUCAAACAGAUGACCAAUCAGAAAGAACGAUUCAGACGCUUGAAGAUAUGUUGUGAGGAUGUGUCAUUGACUUUCAAAGAUCAUGGAGCAAGUAUUUACCAUUGGUUAAAUUCGCUUACAACAAUAGUUACCAAGCAACAAUUAACAUGGCACCAUACGAAGCUCUAUAUAGUAGAAAAUGUAGAUCGCCUAUUCAUUAGGAUGAGAUGGGCGAGUAAAGACAUCUUGGACCUGAGUUAAUUACUACCUCAUCUGAAGCGAUCAAGAAAAUACGUCAAAGAAUGUAGGCAGCUCAAAGUCGACAGAAAAGUUAUGUAGAUAAGAGGCAUAAGCCUUUGGAAUAUUGAUGACAAAGUAUUUCUAAAGGUUUCCCAAUAAAAGGAUCGAUGAGAUUUAAGAAAAAAGGAAAAUUAAGUUCGAGGUUUAUUAGGCCAUUUGAAAUACUUGAUCGUGUCGGGAAUGCUUCCUACCGACUUGCCAUCAUACCAUCAUUAUCAAGAAUGCAUAAUGUCUUUCAUGUCUCCACGCUAAAGAAAUACGCCCCCUAUGUGCUAGAUUAUAAACCUUUUCAACUAGAAGGAGACCUAACUUAUGAAGAACGUCUAAUUCAAAUUCUUGAUAGAAAGAUAAAAGAUUUAAGGAAUAAGAAGAUCCCUUUAGUUAAAAAACUUUGGCAAAAUAACUCAGUAGAGGAGACAACAUGGGAACGUGAGGAAGAGAUGAAGAAUAAGCAUCCUAAGUUAUUAAGUAAGUAAAUUUCGAGGAUGAAAUUUUUAAAAAGGGGGAGGAAAUUGUGAGGUACAAUUUUCUCCCUUAAAUAUAAUAGAUUUUAUUUUAAUCUAACAAGCCACUAAAAUUUAUAAUAUUUAAUUUUAAGGAAUGAUGACAUAAGUAAUGAUAUAAGAAAUGAUGACAUAAGUGAUGAUGUAAGAAGAAGUAUGUAGAGAAAGUUAAGACUUAUUGAAUUUAGUAAGUUAUUUAUGAAGAUUAAUCUCAACCAUUGAUCAAGAGUUGUGGUGGCAAAAUCCUAACCAUCCAUUAGCUUUAAGAAAUUCUAUAAAUACCCCCCACCGCUUCUCAUUUUCAAUGCAACCUAAAAAUUUAAUUCCCUUAUAUUCUAAGUCAUAAUAACAAGAGUAAAUGAAUCCUUAAUUUAGAAAGAUAUAGAGAAGUUAAGAUCAAGAGGUAAGUAACACUUCAACUACAAUGUAAGGAUAAAAUUCUUUUCAUACUUAAGUUCAGUUUUAACAAUUUCUUUAUAUUAUGAUGGCUAUUAUAGUGUGAUUAGUUAUAUCUUUAUAUGGUCGCCCUUGCCGCCUAAUAUAUAAUGCUAUGGUCGGCUCUGGCACAUAAUAUGUGAUGUUAUGGUCGACUCUGCCGCCUAAUAUGUGAUGUUAUGGUCGCCUCUGCCGCCUAAUAUGUGAUACUUAUACUUAAUUAUACUAUGGUCGGGUAUGCUGCCUAUACUAAAGACUCUUGUUUUUAAAUAAUGUUGUGUGUUGAUUUUGUUAUGCAUCGAGGAAUUUCAAAUGUUAUAAGUUGCAUUGGAUGCAUGCAUAUCAUGGACUACAUUAUAAAGAAAAUGUUUCAAAAAAUGAAUGUAUGAAAAAUAAGUAGUUGUACUACCAGGUGGCAAAAUUCUAAGGAGGGGAAGCCCUCAAAGCUAAGUUAAAAGAAAUAUUUUGGGGAUGGCGAUAUGUAACACCCAAAAGAUUAACUAAUGAGGCCCAAAGGCAUAUUGUUUAAAGAGUAAAAGUGCCAGCUUUGUAGUGCAAUAUACUUAGGGUGUAAAUAAAGUUGUUUUGUAUUUUCUAAGUUUAUUUUAAGAGCUUAAUAUGGUAAUCCAUAUGCAUAAUAAUUUAUACAUGCAUCAAAGUGUUAUCUUACUUGACAUUAGCUCCCUAAGUCCUUAGAUUGCAGGUAACGAUGAGUAGGGCAAGUUGGUGUCAAGUCCUAAUCAAGACGAAGUGCAUAUGGGCAUAAUAGACCUUGGGAUUUUAUACUGGGCUCAGCUUUGUUUCAAUAAAAAUAAACAUCUUAGUUUUGUGUAAAAUAAAGUUUUUAUACUAAGGAGUUUCUAUAUGACUCUUACUUUUUGUAAGAAUGUUUGUUUGUUGUAAACUUUUAGAAUUCGUAUUUAUAUUAAAAGUAACUAUGUUUUUAAGUAUUUUUAAGUAAAUAAUAUAGUGGAGUGUUGCAUUUUUGCCCCGCUCUACUCUGCUAGCUUACACAAUACUUGUUUUCUAUUUAAUUAAAAAUUAAAACAACAGAUAUCCUUAAAAUAUCUAGAUCGUGAAAUAUGGAUUUCGAAAAAGCCGACCCCCUGCUCUUAAGAGAUGAUCGUUCAACCAAGAAUGCCAGUUUUUUUUCAAUUUAGGAGCUGAAGGAGAUAAUCUGGUCACUCUCUCUUGCAGGGACAAACUGUUGGAGUCUCAAAGAACUGUUGCGGAGGAUCUAAUUUCAGAAGAUGAUGCAUUGGAGUUUGAGCCCGAAGAGAUUAUGGUUGAACAUGGGAUGACUAUGCCAUCUAUUUCUUUCUCUCUGAGAAUGCAUGCACAAUUGGUUAGGCCAUUGCAGUAUGCGGUGGUGGUUAAAUUACUUGGGCGAUCGAUUCGCUAUCGAGCCCUUUGUAAUCGUUUGGGAGCAUUAUGGAAUUCAACUACAAGUUUUAAUGUUAUUGAUUUGGAAAAUAAGUAUUUCUUAAUCCGGUUUAAAUCCAAAGAAGACAUGGGUUUUAUUUUAACACAAGGACCAUGGACGAUAAUUGGGCAUUAUUUAAUCGUCUAGCCAUGGUCGCCACAGUUUGAUAGUUUGAAGAAGAAGUGUGAUUCUAUCACAUUAUGUAUUAGGUUACUUGGGAUGACACUUCACUACUAUCAUAAGCGCAUCUUUAAGAUGAUUGGACAGAAAAUAGCAAUGUUGUUCGGAUAGCUUAUAAUACGGAGUUCGCGACAAGAGGCAAGUUUGUGAGAAUUGCAGUUGAAGUCUCAUUUUCAAAUCCUCUGGUCUUACAAUUUCUUUUGGAUGGUAAGGUCCAGAAAGUCAAGUAUGAGAAUCUCCCAAUUAUUUGUUUUAGCUGUUGAAAAUAUGGUUACUAUAAUGAGGCCUACCCUGAUAGAGUUACGAGAAAUGAAACAAUGAGAGAGAAGGGGCUCGGUGGUGAGAAAGCCACUACCGAAGUUUUGUUAACAUAAAUAUUCUUUUAUUAUUGAUUUUAAUGAUAAUAACUUGAUUAAGAUUAAUUAAUCUUUUAAAAGCUCAAAAUAGUUUUCAUAUACUUUUAAAUCAUCAUUCUCACUUUAUAAAGACUUUAUAUUCUAUGAAAAUAUUUUUAGUUAUUCUCAUGUUAAUGGUUUCAAUUGAAAAAGCUUUAAGAAUUUUGAUAAUAACAAGUAUUGCUUCAAAUCCUAUCAAUGGACCUAUUUGACAAGUCUUAUAAAGUUUUAGGCCAUAGUAUAAUUUUAUAAAAUUUUUAGGGCCAAGCUAUAAUUUUACAAAAAUAGUUCAUUGUAGCAAUCACUGCUGAAAACGGUGAUCCCACAUCUUGAUAACGGCUCACCGACAUCGAACAGAAUUGAAGAUUAGUCUCUGGACAGUAACGGUAAUCCGACAUCUAGAUAAAGGCGAUUCNNNNNNNNNNNNNNNNNNNNNNNNNNNNNNNNNNNNNNNNNNNNNNNNNNNNNNNNNNNNNNNNNNNNNNNNNNNNNNNNNNNNNNNNNNNNNNNNNNNNNNNNNNNNNNNNNNNNNNNNNNNNNNNNNNNNNNNNNNNNNNNNNNNNNNNNNNNNNNNNNNNNNNNNNNNNNNNNNNNNNNNNNNNNNNNNNNNNNNNNNNNNNNNNNNNNNNNNNNNNNNNNNNNNNNNNNNNNNNNNNNNNNNNNNNNNNNNNNNNNNNNNNNNNNNNNNNNNNNNNNNNNNNNNNNNNNNNNNNNNNNNNNNNNNNNNNNNNNNNNNNNNNNNNNNNNNNNNNNNNNNNNNNNNNNNNNNNNNNNNNNNNNNNNNNNNNNNNNNNNNNNNNNNNNNNNNNNNNNNNNNNNNNNNNNNNNNNNNNNNNNNNNNNNNNNNNNNNNNNNNNNNNNNNNNNNNNNNNNNNNNNNNNNNNNNGUAGGUGAGGUUGGCCGAGCCACAUAAAAAUCCUUGUGUUUGAAUCUCUCUUCCCUUAUCUUUUUAUAUUGUAAUAAAUUUAUUUGUUAUUGCUUUAAAUUUGUUUUAGAUUUGCAUUCAGCUUUGCUUUAAAAAUUAAUAAUUUUUAGAAUCCCCAUUCACCCCCUCUUGGGUUGCAUAACUAGAAUUUCAUUUGGUAUCAGAGCCUUGUUCUCUUGUUAGGACUUAAUCAUCUAGAGUAAAAGAUCCAUGGCAACCCUAAAUGACUUAAUCUUUAGAGAAGGACAAUUCACAACUAGACUACCGUUCUUUGACGGUAAUGACUAUGCGUAUUGGAAAACUAGGAUGAGAAUCUAUUUGCAAGCUUUAGAUUAUGAAAUUUGGGAAGUUGUUUGUGAUGGUCCAUUCAUGCCUAUGAUUAAAAAUGAAGUAGGAGAUGAUAUUCUUAAACCAUAAAGUCAAUAGAGUGAGUUAGAAAAGAGAAAUAUGUCCUUAAACUCCAAGGAAAUUAAUGCCUUGUUUUGUGCUUUUGACAAGAAAGAAUUCCAUAGAGUAUCUAGUUGUGAGAGUCCCAUUGAAAAUUGGCACAAACUUGAAGUUGUCUAUGAAGGCACAAAUCAAGUGAAAGAGUCGAAGAUUAGUAGGUACACUCAACAAUAUGAGUUGUUACAAAUGGAACAAAUUGAGAGUGUGUACUCUAUGUAUACUAAAUUUACGGACAUAGUAAACACCCUAGAAGCUCUAGGAAAGACCUUCUUAAAUAGCGAGAACGUUAAGAAAAUCAUUUGGUCACUUCCAAAAGAAUGAAGACCUAAAAGAACUGUUAUUGAAGAGGCCAAAAAUUUAAAUACUUUACCCCUUGAUGAUUUAAUUGGUUCUCUCAUUUCAUAUGAAGAAUAUUUGGCAGCAGAGAAAGGACAUGAGGAGAAAAAGAAAAAUAUUGCUCUCAAAGCCUUAAAAUAUGAGAGUGAUGGGGAGAGUGAACCGGAUAAUGAAGAGCUGGCCAUGCUAGCAAGGAAGUUCAGAAAAUUUUUCAAGAAAACCAAUGAACGAAGAAAAUUCAAAAACUUCAAGAACCAAAGGGAGAAGAAAGAGGUAAUCACAUGCUAUGAAUGUAAAAAGCCCGGCCAUAUAAGAUCGAAGUGCCCACUUAUCAACAAACUCAAGAAGAAAUCCAUGGUUGCAACUUGGGAUGAUAGCGAUGAAGAUUCAAGUCAUGAAGAAGAGUCGCAAGAAGUAUCAAACCUAGCACUCAUGGCAAUAGGAGAUGAUGAUAAUCUCGAUGAGGUAAGUAAUCCUACUUAUGAUGAAUUGUGUGAUGCUUUUAAAGAAUUGCAUAAUGAGUUGAUGAAGAUUGAUAAAAAGAAUGUAUGUCUUAAAAAGGAAAUGGUAAAGCUCAAAAAUGAAAAUGAAUCUCUAAAUGCAAAAAUUACAUGCUUAGAAGUAGAGAACAAAACAUUGCAUGAUAGAAUUGCAUUAUCAAAUAAGAAAGCUAGCACCUCACAUGAGCAUUUAGAAUCACAUAUAGAUGAUUUGAAAAAUGAAAAUGAAACGCUUAAGAAAAAAAGAAAUGAGUUAAAUGAAAUUGUUUUAAAAUUUACAAAUGGGCAAAAGAUGUUGGAUAACAUGCUCAAUUCACAAAAAUGUGUUUUUGACAAAAAGGGUAUUGGGUAUAAGCCAAACUUGAAACAAAAUAUUAUAAGAACUACUUUGUGAAGAGUACAUCUAGUAGCAAUCAAGUUGUAUGUCAUUUCUAUAAUCAAGAUGGUCAUAUGAAAAAUAGGUGUUCAGUAAAAAGAAAUACAUAUUAUGGUAUGAAAUGCAUUUGGGUUCCAAAAGGAACCAUUGCUAAUUCUCAAGGACCCAAAAAGCUUUGAGUACAUAAAACUUGAAAUUUGCUCUACAGGGCAUGAAGAAGAAGAAAAUAAAUGGUACUUGGACAAUGGUUGUUCAAGGCACAUGAUCGGAAACUAUGCAUGGUUCUCAAGCUUCACCAAAAUUGAAAAUAGUGGAGACAUAUCUUUUGGAGACAACUCAAAAGGCAAAAUUCUCAGAAUUGGAAAUGUUGGUAAAGUUUCAUCAACUCUAAUUGAGAAUGUAUGUUUGGUUGAGAACUUAAAACACAACUUGAUUAGUAUUAGUCAAUUAUUUAACAAAGGUUAUAAAAUUAUUUUUGAUAAAUUUAGUUGUGUCAUUGAGAAUUCAUGUGAUGGCAAGAUCUUAUUUGUUGGAAAUAGAUGUGGUAAUGUUUAUAUAAUUGACAUAGAAUGUGCAUCUACUCUUGAUAAAUGUUUUUCGGCAUUGCAUGAUGAUAGUUGGUUAUGACAUAGAAAACUAGGACAUGCAAGUAUGGAUUUGAUUUCAAAAAUUUUGAAAAAUGAUUUAGUCAAAGGUCUUCUAAAAAUCGGUUUUCAAAAGGAUAGAAUUUAUAAAGCUUGUCAAUUUGGGAAAAAAUUCAAAACAUCUUUUAAAAACAAAAAUCAUAUUUUCACUUAAAAACAACUUCAACUUCUUCACGUAUAUUUGUUUGGACCUUCAAGGUAUGCUAGCUUGAAUGGAAAAUAUUACACUUUUGCAAUUGUUGGUGAUUUUUCAAGAUACACAUGUGUAUUAUUCUUAACUAAUAAUGAUGAUGCUCUUGAUGCUUUUAAAGUACUUUGUAAGAAAAUUCAAAAUGAAAAAGGGUAUGGUAUUGUAUGCACUAGAAGUGAUCAUGAAGGCAAGUUUGAAAACUAUGCAUUUGAAACCUUUUGCAAUAAUCUUGGCAUUUUGCACAAUUUUCAUCACCUAGAACUCCACAACAAAAUGGAAUUGUUGAGAGAAAGAAUAGGUCAAUUCAAGAAAUGGCUAGGACUAUAUUGAAUGAAAAUUCUUUGCCUAAGUAUUUUUGGGCCGAGGCCGUCAACACCGCUUGUUAUGUUUUAAAUCGUGUGUUGAUUAGAUCUAAUCUUAAUAAAACUCCAUAUGAGCUUUGGAAAGAUAGAAAACCCAAUAUUGGUUAUUUCAAAGUUUUUGGAUGCAAAUGCUUUAUUUUGAACACAAAAGAUAAUCUUGGCAAAUUUGAUCCAAAAUCCAAUGUUGGUAUUUUUCUUGGAUAUUCAAAUUCAAGUAAAGCUUAUAGAGUUUAUAACAAAAGAACUCUAAUUGUAGAAGAAUCUAUGCAUGUUACAUUUGAUGAAUCUAACCCCUCCUCUGCGGAGAAAGGAAUUACUUAUGAUGAUGCAGAUGGAAAGUUACAAGAAGAAUCAUCAAAGGAUAAACAAGAGAAUGCACCACAAAGAAAUCAAGAGAACGGACAAGAAGAGAAAACAAAUAUGGAACAAUAUGAAGGUACUUCUCAAGCACUCCCCAAGGAGUGGAGGUAUAUUUCUUCACAUCCUAAGGAUGUAAUUUUAGGAGAUCCCUCACGAGGUGUUACAACUAGAUCAUCACUUAGGAAUGCUUGUGAGCAUAAUGCAUUUAUUUCUCAAAUUGAACCCAAAUCCUUUGCGGAUGCAGAAAAUGAUGAAUCUUAGAUUAUGACAAUGCAAGAGGAGUUAAAUCAAUUUGAGAGAAACAAUGUGUGGGAAUUAGUUCCUAAACCGAAACAUCAAUCUAUCAUAGCUACUAAAUAGGUUUUUAGGAAUAAGAUGGAUGAAUCCGGUGUGGUUGUAAGGAAUAAAGCUACAUUAGUUGCUCAAGGUUAUAACCAAGAAGAAGGAAUUGAUUUUGAUGAAACAUUUGCACCCGUAGCUAGAUCAGAAUCAAUUAGAAUGUUGUUAGCAUUUGCAUAUCAUAAAGACUUCAUUUUAUUUCAAAUAGAUGUGAAAAGUGUUUUCUUAAAUGGUUAUAUUAUGGAAGAAGUGUAUGUAAAGCA